rnacentral:lncRNA from 1 species
AGUUGAUCUUUGGGUAAAGGAGGAAGGAGAUGGGUCAUCUGACAAGCAGUUGCUUUCUUUGUAUGCUGAGUUUGAGGGGAUGUACCAGUUAGAUGAAAUGCUAGAUGGAGAGGUUAGUAGUGACCUUGGCAGCUUGGUCAUCGACUAUCUCUUGCUUGAUGAGAGUGUUGAGGCUGUAAUACAAGUCUCUGCAAAGAUUGACUGCCCUCAUCAUGUGAGAUUCACUGCAUUCACUAGUGGCUUUGAUGGUGAGAUUGUGCUGUUUGAUGAUAAGUUCUCUGGGAAUGGAAAACUGUUCCAGUAUGUUGUCGCGGUGAAGGCUGAGGGGAAAUUGGAUAUUUGCUUAAAAAUGGAGGAAUCAUUGUUUUGGUGGACUUUCCAGGAAGGAGCUGUUGGAGCUGUCAGGUUCCCUGAUGACUCAGUUUUAAAUUACGGGCAGUUUGAGGUGACGGUGCUUUUUGCUCCUAAGAAAUUUACCAUGGAUGACUGAAACCCGAUCUGUAAUAUCGGUGUUUUUUUAUCUUCGUUCUAGCAAAAACCGGUGGAGGUGGCAGAGAAAAUCGGUGGGAUGAGAGAUUAAGGAGAUGGCUGUUUUUUAGAGGAAAAGAAAAUCGGUGGGGUUUUGCGGGGAUCGCGGGGUCCAUUAGGCCUCGUUUGGUAAGAGUGGAUUUGAGAGGUUUGGUGAGGACGGGAUUUCAGGGAUUUGGUGAAUCCCCCUCUUCCACGCAAUCCCCUUGCAACCUCAAAUCCCCCUCCAGCCACACAUCCCCUUCGUACAAAACACUGUUUGACAGGGAUGGAUUUUCAUAUUGAACUAAAAUGUUGUAAAACAGUUAAAAAUCUAAUCUUGCAACAAUUCUUCGUAUCCACAACAUAAUUUGCUUGACUUGGACUUAAUUUAUGGAUGGGGACCAAACACAAAGCAUACUAGAAAGGAACCAACAAUAUCAAUAUCCAUUGAAACAAAGGGACAGGACCAACAAUAUCAGUAUCCAUUGACCUACUAGCGCAGGCUGGACAAACCACACUCUAAUUAUUUAAAUCCCUCUAAUUAUUUACUGUCAUCCCGGGACCUUGCUUCUAGUCCAGAAUUUUGGGUUUUUUUUAUUUAUGUUGACAGACAAAACUGAACAUUGUUCAUGUGCAGAAGUUCAUCCAGGGACCUUGAUUUACUGUCAAUGUAAAAGCUCAUCCAGAAACACCUUAAUUUCUGUCAGCAUGAAAACCCACACUUCUAUAAAAAUUCAAAUCAAGGUACUGGUUCUCACAAGAGCCGGGUUCCAAUGAUUUUCAGGAGAGGAGAGGGAUGGCCAUCGAGGCAAGCAGUCUCAUCGAUGGACGCAAAGAACUAUUCAGAUCGAGCCAUGGCCGCUGGGUGUCGGACGAGGAGCAAGAAGAGACAGCUCUAGAGUUUGCAGGGGAGGGGAUGGAGAGGUGGAGGAUAGGGGAGGAAUCACAUCAGGAAUAACCGGCGGAGGACGUUGACGCUCUAGCGUCGGCGGGGUGGUGAAGAUCCGGCGGCGGGGCGGCUCCUCUCAGUGGCAGCGAGGGUGUUGCUUUGCCUGUCCUGUUCGGACGACGGCGACGCGAGGAGGAGGCUGCGGCCGACGGCGGCACGUCGAGGAGGAGGCUGUUGCCGACGGCGGCGCGAGGACUAGACUCCGGUCUCGCGCAUGGCUCCAAUUCCGCGAGGGCCUCCUCGUGCCUUCUGAACCGCGUGGGUUCUCCUCUGAAACCUCGGGUGGAUUGGGCCAGCGAAACCUCGCAUACCAAACAGCCCGUCGGGGAUUGUAGAGGUUUCUGGGCCCCUCGUGGAUUCUCCUCUGAAAUCCCCUCCUACCCUCGCGUACCAAACGAGGCCUUAGGAAUAGAGAUUUAUAGAGAUACUGUCACGCGCAGAUCAUGGUCUAAGCUUUGAUGCGGUUACGCGUAUUCGAGAUUUGAUUAAUUAUAAGCAUGGAAGUGAUGCAAAUACGUUAGUACUGUGUCGCAGUGUGUUUGGUCAACUUCCUCAGGUGUUCAUCGUGUAGGAGUAGUACGUCUUUUUUUUUUGAGACGGGAGUAGUACGUCUUUGGUAAGCAACAUGACACAAAUAUGGUAAUACUAUCGUCCAGAGUUAUGAACAUUUGUUCAGACAUGAUGCGUCGUGGCAAGCCGAAGCCGGCCACUCAUACCCAUACCCCGAUACUCAUGCGUGCCAUCUCACCAUCACAACGGACGAGAUCCCUACUUGCUCUUAAUUAAUCCUGACACCGGCAAAACAAACCCUCCCAUUCAUCCCGCACACGAGCGAGCUCAUCUACAGAGAAUGAAGGAGGCCGCUCAAAGUCAGGAGGAGGAGGAGGAGCCAUGGGUGAUCUAUUCCAACCGAGUGAUUAACAAACAUGUUUACCUAACUAGCCAGUCGUAUUGGGAACCAAAGCAAAUGAAUGGAACUACUCUCUUUCAUUGAUGAUUCUACAUAUAUAGGUACACAAAGGACGCCUCGUUGGAGAGGCGUCUGUAUGUGAACCGGCGCGACGGUUGCCCAAAUAGCAUCCGUCAGCGGUUAAUACAGGCAGGGAUUGUUCCUUAAUUAAGUAUUUAAUUAAUCUUAACACUCCCCCUAAUCCAUGCUUAUCCAGGUAGCAUCAUCAUCUUGAAAGAGUCUCCUCCAAAGACCUUGUGGGAAAAAUAUGAGGAGUGGUGUAGAAUAUGUUGCUAAAACUCCUUCAAACCCAGUGGAAAAAAUAAGGAGAAAAUGGUGCAACAUAUAAUGGUUAUUGUCUCUUUCAACUCAAUACGAAAAAACCCAUAGAGUUUAGAGGACAAUAAAUAUGUCGUAUAUACUUCCUUAAAAAUCCCGGUGGGGAAAACAGAAAGUAUGACACAUGAUCUCAUGUUGAUAUUACCUCAUUAAAAACCUUUAUGAGAACCUGAAAAAUAAACUCAUGAAGGAAAAAAGAGUAUAAUAUAAUGCAUUCAACAGGAAUAAUUCAGGAAGAUACUCCCCCCUGAUUCUUGCAAAAUUCGAAACCGUCACAUACCAAAACAUAGAAGUUGGUAGAGACCCCUGAACAAAUCAGUCAUGAUUUGACUUGCAAGAUAUGCAAUAUAGUGAUAUUGCUUAUUAUGUAACCUGUUUUCAUCCGGGCAACACAAGAAGCAUUAUCGUUGAGAUAAUGGUUGGUGAAUGUAGCCAUGAGGUCUGUUUUGAAGACUCUUCAUGAGAGGGCUACCACACCUAGUAGGAACACUAAACUUGUCUAUGAUCUGAUAUAGUGGGGAUGAUCGAUGUAUCCAAUGAUAUUGGUGUUCAGAUUUCUCCGAAACUAAAAAACCAGGACAAGAUGUUUCAUGCCUUGGAGAUAUCGAAAGAUAUUCUUGAGUACCAACCAACUGUGUUUGGUGGAUCCAAUGGCAUUACGGAACGUUGAGUCCCAAUAUCUCAUUUCCAUCAUCUCUUGGUCUAAAUAGAUCUUUCUCUACGUCUAGAGAAUGAACUACCAUGAGAGUUAUAGAUGGAUAAGAUUUGUCCACAAUGAAUUUCGCUAAUAUAUUAUGGAUAUAGACAACAUAGUAUACAAUAAUGUAUGAAUGAAGGUGCUCAAGUUGUAGUAACGAGCGAUAUUUUGGUUUACACAAAUCCUUCACUUAAACUCCAUUGUUUAGAUGAUUAUAUGUGUCAUCAUUGCAGAGACACAAACAUGGAUAAUCAUCACUGUAGGAGUAAUCCUUGUGUAUAAAGAACUCACUACGUCGGUUGUACCAUAUGUACCGACAACAAUAAGUCUUAUGGUGACUUAUUGCUUUUACACAAUGUAUGUUGCAUAUUGCAUUUCGAUUCAGAAGCGAGAUUCCAUCGGCAAUCAAUCAUAUGUGUCUGAAUCUAGUGAUCCACAUGGAUAUGUGAGCACUACAUCUAUCAACUGCAUAUAUAGAUGAUUUUGUACUGCCAAUGAUAUAAGUUAUCGGAAAGAGAUUCCACCUCUGGAGAAUAGUUAGGUAUCUGCGUAAACCCUUGUGCUACAAUACUUGCUCUUUGUUUCACCACCUCGUUGUUCUCAAUUCUGUUUCUAGAAGAAAACUGAUGUAGGUAUUGCUUAUGAAUACCUUCCCAUUAUUGAGCAAGAUCAUUUCUACCUAGAUUAUACCCUUUGCUUGAGUUCAGUCCGAGUGUUGUUCACACUUUGCCAUGGCCAUGGUCUUUGGAUCUGAAUCACUUGAAAGGUUUUUUCAAUCUAGUUGAGGAAUGUAUGUCGACAAUUGUAGUCUUUCGGUUAUAUGUUUCUCCAGAAUCUAUAUAUCAAUAUAUAGUUGAUGGAAAUAUCGUUACCCAUAGUGACUGCUCGCGAUUUCUCAAUGCGAUUGAGUCGGGUAUUCCAAUGUCCCGGUCAUUUUGUGCACUAUGACCUGGGUUGGUGGAGGUUUCCCGUCCACUGGGUGUAUACUACCCAUCAGGUGUCUGUCAACGUGAAGUUGACUUGCAUUUACUGAUUCACAUGCCUUGAUAUCCUUGCUUGCGAGAAGCUGAAUCCUGAUGUGCUAUUGUCGUACUUCUUCCCCUGUUGCUUUGAACGGGGAGUUGAGUGGUUUUAGUUGGUACCUCCACUCUUUUCGGCAUAUUUUUUAGGAUUGUAGGAUUGUAUGACACCUUUAUAGUCAGUAAAUGAAUCUGGCAGGUUAUUUGCAUUGUGUUGCAAAUCUUCUUAAUGCAUGGUUCAGAUCUUUGAGUACGUGGAUUUGAGGCAGAAAUGUGUUGAACAUUCCACUAAUUUCCUGGCAUUCUUUAUGGUACUUGAAAUCACCCCCUAAUGCCUGGAAAUGUUCCUCAUUGAAUCAACAUACUGGCCUUAAAUAACUCCCCAUGCGAGGGGCUUGAGGUAUUGACGGAAAUACAGUUAUUCCUCACAUGGAUCCCAACUAUAUGUUGAGGGGCCAAUGAUGUAUGUUGGGGUGGUGAUAUCGGUAUGCAACCGAAAUACUGCAGAUGGGAAAUACUUGGUAGAUUUCCACGUAUCAAAGAUAGAGGGGAAUAAUAGUAUGCAGUUUGGUCAUGAGCGUGUAAAACUGCAUGACUCCAACGUAAAGUUUGUAAAUUGCAAUUCCAAAGUAAAGAUAAUGCAAUGAGCUUAACUCUUUGGAUAAAGGAUUCUACCAAACCAUUUUGAGUCUAGACACUAGGACAAAUUGCUAAACUUCAAUCCAAGGGCCAUAAAAGAAGGCACUCAAGGAGAAUUCUGCAAUGUUAUCCAUUCGAUUUGCUUGAAAUCAAUGUCAGGAUAAUGAGCCAAUUGUUUCGUGUGAAUAAAGCACACACUUAAGACCAUCAUGUAGAUAUGUCUUUUAGAACCAUGGAAUACCAGAAUAGUCUAGUCAAUGGAUGGGAAGAGCCACUUACCUCAACUUGAUGUAUUCAAGGAGUCUGAGUGGUUCAGCGUAGACUUUAAGGUGUGCGAGCCUUAAAAUUAGCUUUCCUGUGUCACUUGUAGUGCACAUAAAAUCCAAAUGGUGUUAGAAUUUAGCAUCAUAAUAAUCAUAAACUAUUGGAAUUGCUGAUGGUUUCGGUUUCAACCCAAUGUCUCGAUGACCAAGAUGAGUAUACCAAGUUUUUCAUGUACAAGACAUUUUGGAAAACUAUCUUGGGCGUAACAUAUGCUACGGAUUUUGUAGUAUGUGUAGUAUAAUCCAGAUGAUACAUAGAGAAUGUGCUUACCAUAUCCGUUGCAUAUGGUAAAGAGAAUGUAUUUCUCUUUCUUGUUAGCAUAAGUUUCGCUAUGGAAACCAUUUUGACAAAUAUGUCUAUAGCUUAGUAGGGUACGAGUUAAACUUGGGAAGCAAUGAAGCAUUAUGACGUUACUCAAGUACCCAUAGGGAUAGUAAAUAUGACUCGAGUUGAGCCAACAAAUACCUCAUCGCAUCUAGUGAUUUUAAAAUAUCUUCUUUCUCUCAAUGAGAGUGGAAACAUUGGACUUCCCUGAGUAUAGAGUUUGUGGUGCAUAUGCCCACAAGGCACACAUCAUUUUUCAUCGAAUUGACUCCCGUAGAAAUCUAUAUAUAGACAUGAAGAUUCUCAAGAAAAUCACUGUCGGAUAUAUAGAAUACAUACAAAUGAAUUUGUAUCAAAGUGCUGAUACAAUAUAUGAUGACAACAAUAAUCAUGUUCUUAUGAAAACAUCAUAAAUGGACAUAAAUAAAUAGAUAACUGAGGAGACUAAGGGACUAAAUGUAUAGUCUCCAAACAUGUCAGUUGAUGCAUAUUCAACCAUCAUGCUCUUCAUGCUCAUAGGGUCUCAUGACAGCUUGAUGGUGUCAGGUUGAGGGUUUGAAGUGAGUUUCAAACCAUUACCCUUGAGGUCCUCUGCAUCCCGGUGGCGUGGCUUGGAUUGCACGCGCUAUCCCAUGGGAUGCAAGACUGAUCUUGAUGUCCAUGACCCGCUUAAGUAAGGUGUGGCCAUUGAGGGCAAGUGCCUCAAAUUGUUAGUCAUCGAUUACUUAUAGCGGCAAGCGAGAGAUAAUUAAUUUACAAGAAGUAAACUAAAAACCAUCAUAGUUUUGUAAUAAGAAUGCAAAAAUUUGACUCAAGUGUAUAACUUGAAAAUGCUCAACCUCAAUUGUGGGAACAUAAACAUAUGGGCAGUAGAUCAUACAGAUCUCACAGUAAUAGAGAUAGUCUACACAUGGGCAGUAAAUCCAACUCAUCACCUUGUGUUUUCCUAAUAUAAUGAGGGAGAUGUUAUUGUCAAAAUUUUAGAAGUUUGUUGUAACACCCUCGAUGCGACUAUAUCUCCCACGUGUCGAGGCACGACUUAGAGGCAUAAUCGCAUUGAAGGCAUAUGUCGCAAGUGAGGUAAUCUUCACACAACCCAUGUAAUAUAAUAAGGAAAAGGAUACAUAGUUGGCUUACAAUCGCCACUUCACACAAUUACAUGAAUAAAGCAUUACAUCAACCAAAUACAAUCAGGGCCUGACUACGGAGCCAAAAUAAAAGAAGAACCCCAAAUGCGACAAAGGUCCCCGAUCGACCCCAACUGGGCUCCACUACUGAUCAACUAGAACGGAAACAACACAAAGGACAAGAUCUUCAUCGAGCUCCUCCUGAGCUUGGUUGCAUCAUCUGCAUGGACUCAACGGCACCUGCAAGCUGGUUUUGGAAGUAUCUGUGAGCGACGGGGACUCAACAAUCUCGCACCCUCGCGAUCAAGACUAUUUAAGCUUAUGGGUAAGGUAAAGGUAUGAGGUGGAGCUGCAGCAAGCGACUAGCAUAUAUGGUGGCUAACAUACGCAAAUGAGAGCGGGAAGAGAAGGCAAAGCACGGUCGAUAAAGGUAUGAUCAAGAAGUGAUCCUGGACUACCAACGUCAAGCAUAACUCCAACAACCGUGUUCACUUCCCGAACUCCGCCGGAAAGAGACCAUCACGGUUACACACGCGGUUGAUGUAUUUUAAUUAAGGUCAACUUCGGGUUUUCUACAACCGGACGUUAACAAAUUCCCAUCUGCCCAUAACCGCGGGCACGGCUUUCGAAAGUUCAACUCCCUGCAGGGUGUCCCAACUUAGCCCAUCACAAGCUCUCACGGUCAACGAAGGAAUAGACCUCCACCCGAGACAUUCCGAUCAGACUCGGUAUCCCGGUACAACAAGACAUUUCGACAGGGUAAAACUAAACCAGCAACACCGCCCGAAUGUGCCGACAAAUCCCGAUAGGAGCUGCACAUAUCUCUUUCUCAGGGCACACUCAGAUGAGCGCUCCGUACAACUAAAACCAAACCUCGAGUUGCCCCGAGGGGGCGCUGCACAGGACUCUAGUUCGGACCAACACUUAGACAAGCACUGGCCCGGGGGGGUUAAGAUAAAGAUGACCCUCGGGAUGCGCGACUCCCAAGGGAAAAAGGCUAGGUGGCAAAUGGUAAAACCAAUGUUGGGCAUUGCUGGAAAAGCUUUACUUAAGGCGAACUGUCAAGGGGUUCCCAUUAUAGCCCAACCGCGUAAGGGACGCAAAAUCCGGGAACAUAACACCGAUAUGACGGAAACUAGGGCGGCAAGAGUGGAACAAAACACCAGGCAUAAGGCCGAGCCUUCCACCCUUUACCAAGUAUAUAGAUGCAUUAAUAAAAUAAGAUAUAUAGUGAUAUCCCAACAAGUAAAUAAAUGUUCCAACAAGGAACGGGUAUCUCCAUGUUCCAACAAGGAACAAACUUCAAUCUUCACCUGCAACUACCAACGCUAUAAGAGGGGCUGAGCAAAGCGGUAACAUAGCCAAUCAACGGUUUGCUAGGACAUUGGUGGGUUAGAGGCUGAACAUGGCAAUUUGGGUGGCUGACAAGCAAGUGGUAGGCAUCGUAGCAAUGGCAUAGCAAAAGAGCGAGCAAACUAGCAUAGCAAAGAUAGUAGUGAUUUCAAGGGUAUGAUCAUCUUGCCUGAAAUCCCGCAAGGAAGAAGAACGAGUCCAUGAAGAAGACAAACGGACGUAGACGAACGGAUCCUCACAACCUCGACGUUAUCGGAACCAACCCGAAGAAGCAAACACCGGAAAAGAAGCACACAACAUAGUAAACAACCACCACAACAACAUGGCACGAUGCACAAUCGAGUAUGAUGCAUGUCCGGUUUAAUGAAACAUGGCAUGGCAAAAUGCAACAAACAACACUACAAAUUAAGUGGAGCUCAAUACGCAACGAGUUGCAUAUUGAUGAAACACCACGACACGUUAUUUAGUUUGAUCUCGUUUAUGUACUCAACAAUAUUAAAUGUUGGUUAACAUGGCAAGAGGGUGAAGCAAAGUAAAACUAUCUAUCUAGUCAAGUUUAAAGGAGGCCGGAAGCAACGAACAACAAUUCCGGAAACUCCCAUAUGCAUAUUUUAGAUUAGGUCCUGUUCUGCCCUAAACACAAUUUUAGGGUUGUUAAACAUGCAAAGUAAGGCCACCAUGUUAAACUAGGCAAAAUUCUACCCCAUUUACAUAUAAAGUUUAUUUAAAUCGGAGCUACGGUUAUUUAGUUAUGAAUUAAAUCAUUUUAGCAUGGCAUAGGAGUAAAUUAAUGCAAACAACAUUUUUAACAUUUCAAACAUAGAUGAAAGUUGGAUAUUAUUAAUCUACACAAAAUUCUGAGCAAGUUUCAUAUAUAAAACAUUUUAAUCCGAUGCACGGUUGUGAAGUUAUUAAUGCAUGAAGUUUAGGGUUUUUUUUGUAAAAACAGCAAUCUCUGGAUAAAUAGACAAAUUCGCAACGCAGGAAAAAAAACUACGCGGGCCGAAACCAAACCACACGGGCCGACGCAGGAAACAAAAGUGCGCUGGGGGCGCAGGAUAGCGCGUGGGCGCUCACCAGAGGGCCACUGGGCCGGGCGAGUUGGGCCUUGAGGCGCUGCGGCUGGCGCGGGUCGCGGAGCGAGCGAGCUGGGCCUUGGCUCGGGCCCAGUCUGGAGGGCACGGUGGAGCAGGAGGCUGGAGCCGGCUGGGCUGGAUCUGGCGCGGCUGGAGAGGCUGGCGCGCUGGGCCGCGAAGGGGAGGGGCCGAGGCCCAUGUGGGGAGGUCGGGCCACGAGGCCGGCAGCGCCUGCGUCGUCCUCCCGACGCACAGAGACGAGGCCGGCGGCGCGGAAGGCGAUUUGAGCCGGCAGUGGGCGAGGGAUGGCCGGAGGAGUCUGGGAUGGGGCGGAUCCGGCGGAUCCCGGCCGGAUCCAUCCGUUCCCGGUGGCGGCGGCGGCAGAACGACUCCAUGGCGGCGGCGGCUACCUGCGGGAGGAAGGGAUCGGCGGGGUGAGCACGAGAAGUGAAGGAGGAGAAGGAGAGAAGGUGAAGGUCGACGAGGAGGCGGCGACCUGGGGCGGAGGACUGCAGGGCGCGGCGGCGGGGUCGGCGGCGCAGAUCGGGAGGCGCGGGCGAGCGAGCUGCUCGGGCGACGGAGAUGCGAGCGAGAGCCAGGNNNNNNNNNNNNNNNNNNNNNNNNNNNNNNNNNNNNNNNNNNNNNNNNNNNNNNNNNNNNNNNNNNNNNNNNNNNNNNNNNNNNNNNNNNNNNNNNNNNNNNNNNNNNNNNNNNNNNNNNNNNNNNNNNNNNNNNNNNNNNNNNNNNNNNNNNNNNNNNNNNNNNNNNNNNNNNNNNNNNNNNNNNNNNNNNNNNNNNNNNNNNNNNNNNNNNNNNNNNNNNNNNNNNNNNNNNNNNNNNNNNNNNNNNNNNNNNNNNNNNNNNNNNNNNNNNNNNNNNNNNNNNNNNNNNNNNNNNNNNNNNNNNNNNNNNNNNNNNNNNNNNNNNNNNNNNNNNNNNNNNNNNNNNNNNNNNNNNNNNNNNNNNNNNNNNNNNNNNNNNNNNNNNNNNNNNNNNNNNNNNNNNNNNNNNNNNNNNNNNNNNNNNNNNNNNNNNNNNNNNNNNNNNNNNNNNNNNNNNNNNNNNNNNNNNNNNNNNNNNNNNNNNNNNNNNNGGGCGGGCGCCUCGGGCCCAGAUCGGCCCGGGGUGGGCCUCCGCUGGGCUUCGGGCGGAUGGGGGCGCUGGAGGGAGGCAGGGGCGACGUGGCGGCCCCCGGUUGGCUCGGGGCGCGCCGGCGGCGGCGCCAAGUGGCGGAGCUGGAGCGGGUAGCGCGGAAAUGGAGGUGGGAGGCGGCUAGAGGUAGGUGGGGGGGCUAGGGAUGCCCAAAAAUGGAAGGGGAAGGUCUAUAUAUAGACAAGGGAGCUAGGUUAGGGGGAUUUUUGUCCGUUCCGGAGCCUCCGAUCGCGAUCUGACGGACCAGAACGGAGGGGGGGNNNNNNNNNNNNNNNNNNNNNNNNNNNNNNNNNNNNNNNNNNNNNNNNNNNNNNNNNNNNNNNNNNNNNNNNNNNNNNNNNNNNNNNNNNNNNNNNNNNNNNNNNGCGGAAAUGGAGGUGGGAGGCGGCUAGAGGUAGGUGGGGGGGCUAGGGAUGCCCAAAAAUGGAAGGGGAAGGUCUAUAUAUAGACAAGGGAGCUAGGUUAGGGGGAUUUUUGUCCGUUCCGGAGCCUCCGAUCGCGAUCUGACGGACCAAAACGGAGGGGGGGGGGUUUAGAUAGGUGGGCUAGUGGGCUGUGAAGAGAGGUUGGGCUGAGAUGAGAGGAGAGGAGUGCAGCCCGGUAACUGUUUCCGGAGACCGAAAACGUCCGACAUUAGACCGGCUAUACUGACGCUAUAGUUAUCCGUUGGGGCGUCAAACGAACUCCGAAUGCGAUGAAACUUGGCAGGCGGUCUACCUACACUAUAAUAAGACCGCACGACAACUCUCAUCCCAUUCUGAGAACAUUUUCCGGCCACUAAUAAAAUACUAUCUUGGACAUGCCGCGGGCGCGUGCAAGUGUGGUUGGGCUCAGAACGGACAACGGAAGGAACGAGGAGACCGGGACGGAUGCAAGUUUUGAAAACAUGAUGAUGCAAUGCACAUGAUGACAUGAUGAAAUGCAACACGCAAGCCAAUGACAAGACAACAACAACGAAUAACUGCACGACACCUGGCACAUCGGUCUCGGGGCGUUACAACACUGCACCACUAUGAGAGGAUCUCGUCCCGAGAUCUAGAAUGGCACCGGAGGGAAAACGAAAGGGAAAGAGAAGCGGUAAAACUAAGUUGCUUCUUUGACCAAUGAGUGAAACCAUGAACCUUGAGAGGUUGAGCAAUUUAAAAGAAAGAGUACAGCAGAGACGAACGAGAUUGCAAACAAUCCGUUAGAAAAGAGGAAAAAGGAACAUUACGAGGACUUGAAGGUUGCGAAGCUAUGAAUGACGAGUACAAUGGACAAGAAGGAAUUGAAAUCACUCUGGUUGAAACGAGAUAAACAAGGAACAAGGAAGAUCAAAAUCGGACAGCACUCCGGUUGGAAAGAGAUGCAAGACUUGAUAAGAUGAAAAAGAACUUGAAAGAAAAAGGCAGGACACUCCGGUUAAAUGGAUAAGCAUGAAAAGAACACGAUCCUGACAAAACAAGAUGAUGAUUGAAGAGCACAACAUCACAAUGCCUCCGGAACGAAAGAAUAGAAGUUGUAUCGACGGAACAAAAGAACGGAGAAGAAAACAACAUCUUCUACCUCCAAUGAGCUUGAAAAACAUCUUAAAGAGAAGGGUCACACGGAGUUGUUGAAACAAUCCACAACGAAAAGAAUAAAUUUGAUAUGGUCUUAUGGAAAACAUCUCAAAUUAUGAGGUGACAGCCUGCCACUCACGGGAAAAGAAUUGAUUGGAUUUAUAUGACAAGGAGACGAGAAACUUAUUCCGCCGGGAGGAUAAAUGAAGAACUUGGGUCAUUUAUAAGCACCAUAGACAGCAACAAACCUUAGGGAAGGCUUUAGGUGGAAUAUAACCCAAGAUAAUUCCAACGAAUAGGUUGAUGGAUUUAAAAUAUCUCAUACUUGAUAACUUGUGAAUCAUGAAACACGAAGGAAAAUUAUCGGAAAUGACAUAACACCACCUCCGAUAAUAUGGUAGACAGAAUCUCACUCCGGAUUACAAGAAGAAGACUGCUUGAGCUCCUUAAAAGAAUCUCGAUGAAAACUUCAAGAAGGAAAUAAAUCCUUGAUGAACCAUCAUGUAGAACCUCCAUGAAGAACUCCGGUAACAAAAAGAUGAUCCAAUGGAAGGAAAAAGAAGUUGAAAACACAAGGUGAAACCUUGUAAUGAUUUAGAUGAAUCUCUGCAACGAGAUAAAGAGAAAACUUGGCACUCCGGUAAACAAAGAUGAACAAAUGGAAACAAGAAUUUGAUGAGCCUCAGGAAUAAGGGAUUAAUAUCUUGGGUGAAGCAAGAAUAAGAAUUACAUUAUGCUUAUCCUUCACCAUUUUAAAAUUGAUGACAAGCAACGGAUUUGGCAUACUACUUAUUCUCGUAGAAGGAUUAAGACAGAUAUUGCGCAAACUUGAGAAAGUCUUCAACGAUCCAUCGGUAGAAUUUAGAAAGCACGAAUGCAUAGAUAUGAUACACGAAGGAAGAAAACUCUUGAACGAACCACCGUAAGAAUUAAAAUAAAUGAAGUAAAGGGAUGAAUCACCGGUUAGAAUUAGCAAAUACACGAAGAUGCUUGAGAGGAUUUAGAUACAUGAGAACGACGAGAUCACGAGCCGAUUAAAGAUCACUUGAACGAAGCACCGGUAAGAUUUAGAGUAUGCGAGCUGAAAGCUGGACUGAAUCAAUCUUAGAUGAUGGGCUCCGGAUAAUCCGACAGAAAAUACUCUGAAUUACUCCGGAUGAGUGAAAAGAAUUCUGACAAUCGAAAACAACUAUAAGAGGAUGGCAUAGCGCUAGAACCACGAAUUUUGAAGAGAAAGGAGCAAGAUUGAGAGAAAAAAUCUUCUUCGGUCUUCAAAUGCUGGGAAUGACGAUGAGAAACACCACCAAAUUGUUGAGAUCUCCAGGAUUAAAAUUGGAAAGGUUGAACCAACGAUGAAAGAAUUUGAAAGAUCAAGGAGAAAGGCGUUUGACUGAUGAUAACUCAAUCUUACGUCAAACUUGGAAAAGAAUUUGAGAGUAACGCCGGGAAAAUAAGAAGAGUCAGGUAAGAUCCUGGAAAAAGACCUGUGGGUUAGGGCCCACUCAAAAGAAAACACUGUUGAACGAUUUAAAAGAGAGGUUGCACCGGUUGAGUUAAAUGGCUUGAAUGAGGGAACAUCCUCGAAAGAACUUGAACGAAAGUAGAGUGGAAACACGAAUCUUCGAGAUAUCUUGAGCACUCCGGAACAAUUGAAUAGCGGGAAGUGAAUUAUUAUGAGGUGCACCGGUAUGAGAAUGUAUUUGAAACGAGAAAAGGGGAUAUAAUCGACAAAUCUUGACUUGAAUCCACCGGAGAAGAAAAGAACGAGGAAUGACGAACUUGAAGCUCCAUUAGAAUCUUCAUGAGAAUCACCGGAUAAGAACAUUGACGGAAAAGAAUGGAGAAACUUCCCAUCAAUAAAAUGGAUACUUGAAGAAGAAAUCUUAGUCCUUGAAGAAAAACAAAAGGGAGGGAGGGUGGUAAAAACAAAGGCAACUUGGAGACGGAUGAAACAAACACCGUUGAGAAGAAGGGAUAAAUGAUCUUGCAAAUGUUGACGUGAACGGAUCCACUUGAGGAGAGACACACCGGUUGAAAAGGAUUGACAUGACAAUCUCGAUUGUCGAGAAGGAUUGGUAUUCACAUCGGAGUAUGAGAACACCAUUUCGGAAAGGUAUGGAAUCAACACUUGACAUUGAAGCAACUCGAAUACCACAACUCAAAACAAAAACAAAGGACUGGCUUGCGAAUAAGCCGGAACAAACAUAUGAUAGAGAUUUCGUCCGAAGUUUUCGUGGUGGGGCCUACACGGGCUCGAUCGUACAGCACCAUCAUGUACAAGGCAGUGCACAUGACAUACGAAGCGUCCCCGAGUCGGCAUAGCCAAGGACUCUUUAAAACACAACGAGAUCACUGUAAAAUCGACCGUGAAUAGGCGGACCACUAGACGUCGAACCCCAAUUUCAUAUCAUACAUCUGUCGGAAAGAUAUCCUAAGAGCUACUUGAAUUCCCACCUAUGAAACUCCCGAAAUUUUCCGGUUAUGCAAUCAGGUGUUGGGGAUACAGGGGAAGCAUAAUAUCUCACCCAAACUAGCAAAUCCUAUAUCCAGUUGUAUCCAUCCUUCAACACAUAACCAAGAAACCUUCGGAAAUCAUCUACCUCAACCUUCGAAAAGCAUCCGUUAUACAAGUUAUGGCGAUACUCCUGAACUCCCGCCCCAGUACUGGGUGGCGUCGAGGUUAUCUCACCAACGAACUGCAUAAAAGAGAUUUCCGAUGUCGCGCACAUAUCUCAAGUAUACCAGAAUUGCAACGAUAAAAUUAUGACGACAACACCUCAGAGCUCAACUCCCCGGGACACUUCCACUAAACCCCUGACAGGAGGCACCAAGACAAUGUUCUCAUCAUAAAACCAUCGGAACGAUUCCAAGAUACCCGCGUGAUCCUAAAAUUUUUUUAGUGAAAUUUGAGAAGAGAAGAGUCAAAACUCUACGUCAUGAUGCCUCACCAGAGCGACGAAGGGACUGGGGAGUAAAAAGAAUUCCUAAACUCUCCGAUAUAUAAUUCCUAAAGGACUCAAAACAUUUUUCUAGACACAACUCGGCCGCUAAAAACGAUCAAUCAGUGGGGGCUCCUAAGGUCGGGGAAGGCUCUGAUACCAACUUGUAACACCCUCGAUGCGACUAUAUCUCCCACGUGUCGAGGCACGACUUAGAGGCAUAAUCGCAUUGAAGGCAUAUGUCGCAAGUGAGGUAAUCUUCACACAACCCAUGUAAUAUAAUAAGGAAAAGGAUACAUAGUUGGCUUACAAUCGCCACUUCACACAAUUACAUGAAUAAAGCAUUACAUCAACCAAAUACAAUUAGGGCCCGACUACGGAGCCAAAAUAAAAGAAGAACCCCAAAUGCGACAAAGGUCCCCGAUCGACCCCAACUGGGCUCCACUACUGAUCAACUAGAACGGAAACAACACAAAGGACAAGAUCUUCAUCGAGCUCCUCCUGAGCUUGGUUGCAUCAUCUGCACGGACUCAACGGCACCUGCAAGCUGGUUUUGGAAGUAUCUGUGAGCCACGGGGACUCAGCAAUCUCGCACCCUUGCGAUCAAGACUAUUUAAGCUUAUGGGUAAGGUAAAGGUAUGAGGUGGAGCUGCAGCAAGCGACUAGCAUAUAUGGUGGCUAACAUACGCAAAUGAGAGCGGGAAGAGAAGGCAAAGCACGGUCGAUAAAGGUAUGAUCAAGAAGUGAUCCUGGACUACCUACGUCAAGCAUAACUCCAACAACCGUGUUCACUUCCCGAACUCCGCCGGAAAGAGACCAUCACGGUUACACACGCGGUUGAUGUAUUUUAAUUAAGGUCAACUUCGGGUUUUCUACAAUCGGACGUUAACAAAUUCCCAUCUGCCCAUAACCGCGGGCACGGCUUUCGAAAGUUCAACUCCCUGCAGGGUGUCCCAACUUAGCCCAUCACAAGCUCUCACGGUCAACGAAGGAAUAGACCUCCACCCGAGACAUUCCGAUCAGACUCGGUAUCCCGGUACAACAAGACAUUUCGACAGGGUAAAACUAAACCAGCAACACCGCCCGAAUGUGCCGACAAAUCCCGAUAGGAGCUGCACAUAUCUCUUUCUCAGGGCACACUCAGAUGAGCGCUCCGUACAACUAAAACCAAACCUCGAGUUGCCCCGAGGGGGCGCUGCACAGGACUCUAGUUCGGACCAACACUUAGACAAGCACUGGCCCAGGGGGGUUAAGAUAAAGAUGACCCUCGGGAUGUGCGACUCCCAAGGGAAAAAGGCUAGGUGGCAAAUGGUAAAACCAAUGUUGGGCAUUGCUGGAAAAGCUUUACUUAAGGCGAACUGUCAAGGGGUUCCCAUUAUAGCCCAACCGCGUAAGGGACACAAAAUCCGGGAACAUAACACCGAUAUGACGGAAACUAGGGCGGCAAGAGUGGAACAAAACACCAGGCAUAAGGCCGAGCCUUCCACCCUUUACCAAGUAUAUAGAUGCAUUAAUAAAAUAAGAUAUAUAGUGAUAUCCCAACAAGUAAAUAAAUGUUCCAACAAGGAACGGGUAUCUCCAUGUUCCAACAAGGAACAAACUUCAAUCUUCACCUGCAACUACCAACGCUAUAAGAGGGGCUGAGCAAAGCGGUAACAUAGCCAAUCAACGGUUUGCUAGGACAUUGGUGGGUUAGAGGCUGAACAUGGCAAUUUGGGUGGCUGACAAGCAAGUGGUAGGCAUCGUAGCAAUGGCAUAGCAAAAGAGCGAGCAAACUAGCAUAGCAAAGAUAGUAGUGAUUUCGAGGGUAUGAUCAUCUUGCCUGAAAUCCCGCAAGGAAGAAGAAUGAGUCCAUGAAGAAGACAAACGAACGUAGACGAACGGAUCCUCACAACCUCGACGUUAUCGGAACCAACCCGAAGAAGCAAACACCGGAAAAGAAGCACACAACAUAGUAAACAACCACCACAACAACAUGGCACGAUGCACAAUCGAGUAUGAUGCAUGUCCGGUUUAAUGAAACAUGGCAUGGCAAAAUGCAACAAACAACACUACAAAUUAAGUGGAGCUCAAUACGCAACGAGUUGCAUAUUGAUGAAACACCACGACACGUUAUUUAGUUUGAUCUCGUUUAUGUACUCAACAAUAUUAAAUGUUGGUUAACAUGGCAAGAGGGUGAAGCAAAGUAAAACUAUCUAUCUAGUCAAGUUUAAAGGAGGCCGGAAGCAACGAACAACAAUUCCGGAAACUCCCAUAUGCAUAUUUUAGAUUAGGUCCUGUUCUGCCCUAAACACAAUUUUAGGGUUGUUAAACAUGCAAAGUAAGGCCACCAUGUUAAACUAGGCAAAAUUCUACCCCAUUUACAUAUAAAGUUUAUUUAAAUCGGAGCUACGGUUAUUUAGUUAUGAAUUAAAUCAUUUUAGCAUGGCAUAGGAGUAAAUUAAUGCAAACAACAUUUUUAACAUUUCAAACAUAGAUGAAAGUUGGAUAUUAUUAAUCUACACAAAAUUCUGAGCAAGUUUCAUAUAUAAAACAUUUUAAUCCGAUGCACGGUUGUGAAGUUAUUAAUGCAUGAAGUUUAGGUUUUUUUUGUAAAAACAGCAAUCUCUGGAUAAAUAGACAAAUUCGCAACGCAGGAAAAAAAAACUACGCGGGCCGAAACCAAACCACACGGGCCGACGCAGGAAACAAAAGUGCGCUGGGGGCGCAGGAUAGCGCGUGGGCGCUCACCAGAGGGCCACUGGGUCGGGCGAGUUGGGCCUUGAGGCGCUGCGGCUGGCGCGGGUCGCGGAGCGAGCGAGCUGGGCCUUGGCUCGGGCCCAGUCUGGAGGGCGCGGUGGAGCAGGAGGCUGGAGCCGGCUGGGCUGGAUCUGGCGUGGCUGGAGAGGCUGGCGCGCUGGGCUGCGAAGGGGAGGGGCCGAGGCCCAUGUGGGGAGGUCGGGCCACGAGGCCGGCAGCGCCUGCGUCGUCCUCCCGACGCACAGAGACGAGGCCGGCGGCGCGGAAGGCGAUUUGAGCCGGCAGUGGGCGAGGGAUGGCCGGAGGAGUCUGGGAUGGGGCGGAUCCGGCGGAUCCCGGCCGGAUCCAUCCGUUCCCGGUGGCGGCGGCGGCAGAACGACUCCAUGGCGGCGGCGGCUACCUGCGGGAGGAAGGGAUCGGCGGGGUGAGCACGAGAAGUGAAGGAGGAGAAGGAGAGGAGGUGAAGGUCGACGGGGAGGCGGCGACCUGGGCGGAGGACUGCAGGGCGCGGCGGCGGGGUCGGCGGCGCAGAUCGGGAGGCGCGGGCGAGCGAGCUGCUCGGGCGACGGAGAUGCGAGCGAGAGCCAGGCGGCUCUCGGGCACGCNNNNNNNNNNGGGCGGGCGCCUCGGGCCCAGAUCGGCCCGGGGUGGGCCUCCGCUGGGCUUCGGGCGGAUGGGGGCGCUGGAGGGAGGCAGGGGCGACGUGGCGGCCCCCGGUUGGCUCGGGGCGCGCCGGCGGCGGCGCCAAGUGGCGGAGCUGGAGCGGGUAGCGCGGAAAUGGAGGUGGGAGGCGGCUAGAGGUAGGUGGGGGGGCUAGGGAUGCCCAAAAAUGGAAGGGGAAGGUCUAUAUAUAGACAAGGGAGCUAGGUUAGGGGGAUUUUUGUCCGUUCCGGAGCCUCCGAUCGCGAUCUGACGGACCAGAACGGAGGGGGGGGUUUAGAUAGGUGGGCUAGUGGGCUGUGAAGAGAGGUUGGGCUGAGAUGAGAGGAGAGGAGUGCAGCCCGGUAACUGUUUCCGGAGACCGAAAACGUCCGACAUUAGACCGGCUAUACUGACGCUAUAGUUAUCCGUUGGGGCGUCAAACGAACUCCGAAUGCGAUGAAACUUGGCAGGCGGUCUACCUACACUAUAAUAAGACCGCACGACAACUCUCAUCCCAUUCUGAGAACAUUUUCCGGCCACUAAUAAAAUACUAUCUUGGACAUGCCGCGGGCGCCUGCAAGUGUGGUUGGGCUCAGAACGGACAACGGAAGGAACGAGGAGACCGGGACGGAUGCAAGUUUUGAAAACAUGAUGAUGCAAUGCACAUGAUGACAUGAUGAAAUGCAACACGCAAGCCAAUGACAAGACAACAACAACGAAUAACUGCACGACACCUGGCACAUCGGUCUCGGGGCGUUACAUUUGUUGUGCGGGAGAAAUCAAUCACGACCGCUGUGACAUGUUCAUAAAGAAUGUCAGGUAAACACACAGAACAUAUCAUUCCCGGUGAAAAACCGGUAAUUUAUUUAUAUUACAGAUUGCGUAAUAUAAAUACAUCUUAAUGUUGCAAAAUUAAUAGAUUUCAAGAAGGUGGCUCGAAAUCAUUAGUGUGAAUCUCAAACUGCUAAGGAUGACACCUUGAAUUUUGCGUAUGUAUUUGCAAGAAAUUGAAAAUCUCAAUUGCAAAUAGACGUAUUAAUCUCGACAUGUAGCGAACAUGGAGAUACAUACAUUCCGGAAUACAUCGUACUCAACAGAAAUACACUACUAUUGUAUUGAAUAGUAAUGAUGUUGCAAACUUGAUGUUCAAGUGAAAAAACUUGAAUUGUAUAGACCUCAAAUUAAAUGAGAUAAUCUUGUAUCAAGUUGCAAGAUAAUUCAGCGGGGUGAAUUAAUAUUUUGCGAGAGAAAAUUAAUCUCAAUCGCAAUGAGAUUGCUUUGCGAGGAAAAAAAAUCUCAAUCGCAAAUCAUAUCAAAUAGACAUGUUGUAGGGAUUGGCAAAAUGGCAAAUGGAUCAUGCCAAAAAUCCACAAACAAUGUCAAUCUUUAUUACAGUGCACCCGAGGGUUAGACUGCAGUUUAUACUAAGCCAAAAAAGUCUAAAUGCAAGCAGCAUAAAGAAAUCUGUAAACAUGAGAAACUGAUGGAGUAAAACGCAAACAUCCCAAGGGAUAAGGUCUUCCAUGUUUCCUCUUUCUCGCGUGGAUUCCAUCAGGAAUUUUCCCAAAUAGAAUCAGCCGACGGAAGUGCGGCAUGCCGGAACACGCAUUGCAACUCGCGCCGGUCGCUUCAGUUUGGGCCGAGCGCUGGUUGCUGGCUUGCGUCUCCACCGCAGCCAGCCGCUCCGCCGCGAGGACCCAGACCAGGUGCGGACGUGGUCAAGGCCGUGCAGGAGGGAGCCGCGAGCAGGGCCACGGGCACCGCCACGCCACGCUGAUGCAAGCGGAGGGCGUCGGCCCACUUCCACUUCAGGGAAGUCGCGAGAGGACGCCGAUGCGUCUCGCUCCGGGCUGAGUGCCAUAGCAGGUUGCGCGCCCCUACCGUGUGCGCCGCCGUUGUUGGGAGAGAGAGAGAGAGACCGCGGCCGGAUGCCGACAUCGUCGUGCAGGACGGACCGCCACUCCAAGCGCCAGUGGCUGUCCGUGCCUGAGGACACGCCGUCUGGAGUCGCAGCGGGUCGCGCCGGCCGUCGGAGGGCGUCGCUGGUUGGGCCACCGCCACCAAACAAUGGACGAAGGCCACGCUGCUGCCGCGCUGGCAGGGGUUGCUUGCCGGUCGUUGCCCGCUGCCAUCCAAUUCUCAGGCGCGGACUGGCGGGCGCGCGUGAGGGCGGCCACGGCGAUGGACGGAGCGCGGGAGUGCGGCCACGGCUUGGCGCAGGCGCGAACACGGUCCUGCGCGGGCAACCAGCGGCGCAGACUGGCGCGGGCGCAGACCAGCGGCCGGAGCGGCUGCUCGAUGGCGAGCGCCGAGCGCCGCGAAGGAGUCGCCGGAACCGAAGGCACUCAGAUGUCGAGCGUGCUGAGGCAAAAUUUCGUGUUUUGGCCCUUUUGUGAAACCUAUUCGAGAUCUGGCCCUAGUUUGAAAAAAUUUCGAGAUCUGACCCUUUUGCUACCGCCAGAGUUAAUGGUGGUAGGGUGUAACAACCUACCGUCAGGUACCUUGGCGGUAGGAAACAUCCCUACCGUCAAACAGACUGGCGGUAGCCUGUACAACCCUACCGCCAAGGUGCUCGGCGGUAGGCACGAGCACGCACUGUGUUCAAUAUUUAGCGGGAUUUUGCGGUAGGGCAUGCAACCCUACCGCCAGGGGCCUUGGCGGUAGGUUGUUAUACCUUAUCGCCAUGGACCCUGGCGGUAGCAAAAGGGUCAGAUCUCGAAAAAAUUUCAAACUAGGGUCAGAUCUCAAAUAUGUUUCAGAAAAGGGUCAAAACACGAAAUUUAGCCGUGUGCUGAUAACGUAUUGAGAACCAAAGCAAAUGAAUGGAACUAUUCUCUUUCAUUGAUGAUUCUACAUAUAUAGGUACAGGGAGGACGCCUCGUUGGAGAGGCGUCUGUAUGUGAACCGGCGCGACGGUUGCCGAAAUAGCAUCAGUCGGCGGUUAAUACAGGAAGGGAUUGUCCCUUAAUUAAGUAUUUAAUUAAUCUUAACAAGUCGAUCUCUCUCUAUUCUGUGCAUCCUGGGCGGGGGACCCUGUUCACGCAAUGGGGGCGGAUCCGCCUGAUCAAAGAUGGGCGGUCCACCUCGUCUCCGAUCUAUUUGCACCGGCGCCGUUGCAGUUCCGGCGGGGCGUGCUUCUCCGACGAGGCGACUCGUCGUGGCUGACGUUGCUGGAUGACCGAGGGAUUCAGGUUGACUCGAAGCGGGUGCACGACAGCGAGGUGAUACAGGAGGGGAUGCAGGUCAGGUUCCCUUGUCACGUUGUUUUGGUGGACAGAGCGCUGGGGGCCAGUGCGGAGGCGCGGCGCGACGCGAGAAUCGAGGUCAAGGAGGAGGGGGAGCGUCGGGAAUGGCGGAUAAUUAAAGCCGCGGCGCGUGGUGCGGCCAUUCCAUCCCCUCUCGACGAAAUCCACUCCUCUCUCCUCCUACAAGCGAGCGCUUCGCCCCUGCAGAUCCAUUGCGUCCUGGAAGGCAAGGCUCGAAGCGAGGGAAAGGGAGAUAGCCUCGGGAGACGAGGUGAAGAUGGGGAUGCUGACGGAGAUCAUCUCCUGGUUUGCGGAGGAGCGGGAUCUGAAGGAGGCGGCGCGGUCGGUGUUCAGAAGUCUCAUGGAGGCGGAGGAUCUGCGCCUCUCCCCGUCGAGCAAACCAGUGGGCGCGCUCAGGAUGAUGCUCCAGGCGAUGGAGGAGGCGGCGUCGGACAAUCCCAGGCAUGCCAUGAAGUGGAAGGCGUUCCGCUCAUGCCGCACCACCCCGACAGAUCCGUCGGAGUUCGUCAUUGGGGCGAUGAUGGGUCUUCCUGCGCCGGUGCCGGUGGAGACGAUGGAGGUGCAGGCAGAUCCAGAGAGCGGCAAGGGCAAAGGGGGAGUGAAGCCUAGUUCGAAGAGGAAGAAGGUGAAGAUGCCUCUGGUGCUGAGGAGAUCACUGCGCUUCCCUCGCCAUUCGCUGCGCCUGCUCUGCCUCACCUGUUCCCAGGGGCGGGGAUAGAAACCUCGCCGGUGGGUGGUCGUUUCUAGCUGCUCGCCGGUGAGGACUCCGACAAGGAAGCUAGACCCUCGUUGGAUCUGCAAGGUAUGAACCCCUACCUGAACAAAUAUCUCAUUGACUCUGAUUUGAUGAAAAUCUCGGACAAAACAAGUUUGAACAAAUAGCGGAGAUUGUCUGCUGAAGAUGGGGGGAAAUUGAGAUCAGAGCGCAUUUGGACUCUGGUUUUGAGAGGGAGAAUUCAGAUAGUGUGGAAGAUGAGUUAUAUGAAGAUAAAAUCAGGAAAAAUGCUAGAAAUGUUUCUGCCAAAAAACCUAUUAGUAAAAUUGUUGUGAAGGAUUGGGCUACCCUCUUUGGAGGUGCUAGCUGCAAGGUUGAUUCUGACCAAAUUAGAAGAAGCAAAAAUAUAGCAGAUAAGAUGAAUGCGGGCAAUUAUGCGCAAAUUCCAGACUUCUGGUCUAAUGCAGAGGUAUACUUAGAAUAUAUGGAUAUGGAUAAUUGUCUAGUUUCUAAUGUUGAUGGCUUGGGAAAUGGUAAAGCAAUGUCUCUCCCCGAUUGGGGUAGGAAGACAAUUAUUAGGUCGGAUGGGGGGCAAAAUGUCAAAAAGGAAAGGCGGGAUCCAGAAAUACGCUUUCCUAGCCCUUUUCCCAUAUAAAUAAUGAGCCCCUCCUCUGCUUUGAGAGAGAGUGUGAUCCCCUCGAGGAUUUAGGGUUUCCCCUUCCUCCGCCGCUACCGAGCAAGUAUAGUGAGGUUGAGAUGAUGAAUAGGGGGGUAGGUGGACUCAGGGGAGGAGGAAGGUUCAAUAGGGGAGGGAGAGACAACUACCAAUACAAAAAGAAAGAAGGGGAAAAUAAUGUAGCUAGAGAGAAUUACCAAAAUAAUGGCAGAAAUGGAGGAAGAUUUGGGUUUAGAGAGGAAGCUGGGAAUUCCAAUCUUUAGAUGGAUAUGGAUGGAGGGAUAAGAGAAGACAUGAAGAUCUCCACAGGGGGUAAAGAAAAUCUUGUUGAUAAGAUGGAGUAAGAGCAGUCGACCAAAGACCUCAAAGGUAAAGAGACUGCUAUGGCCCCUACCCCCCCUAUGAAUCUGAUCCAACAACAACAAUGGUUUGGGGCGUUCUUAGCUCAGAUGGCCCAACAAAGAUUGGAAAGCUCGUCUGGAAGUGGUGUGGCUGCUCUCCCAGGGAGCAGCAGAAACAGUGACUUGGAUAAGAAGGAAGGAGAUUAUGGGGAAGGGAAAGACUUCACCUGGAGGGGAGAUUCUGAUGCGGGAAUGGGUAAUAAAAUUGGGCAAAUUGGAUGGGGUCAAAAUACUAGAACUGGACAGAGAGAACACGUUGAGCAGAAUAAGACUGGGGGAAACUUCAGGGUGAUGUGCAACAAAUGCAAGGAUACUAGACAUCUGACAAGAGAUUGCAAGCUGCCCCACUGCAUCAUUUGUGGCAAAAACUCACACAUUUCUGAGGAAUGUACAUGGCUGAAACAGAUUAAGCCGACCCCAAAGUUUGUAGGAUAUGCUGCUAGAGGGCUUGGAGUGUUGUUGGUUCAGAAUUCAAAACAGGUGGUGAGCAGUGAGCAGACAAACCAUAGUGAACAUUGCUUCUGGAGAGAUCAAUGAAACCCAAUUCCAGGAAGGAUUCAAUUGUAUGUUUAGCUAGAAUUGGUAGUGGAGGUGCAAAUAACAUGGGGAUAAAAGCCCAUCUGAUGAGAUUCCCCAGCAAAAGCAGGCUGGUUGAAUUGCAUAAAUUUGGAGACUUCAACUUGCUGGGGACUAAAGCUAUAAUUAAUGUGGACAGCUGGACUUAUGAUACUCAAGCUAUUGGCAAAUUACACAUAGUAUGGGUUCAGUUUGGGAAAGUGGCUGAGUGUUUCAGACACUUCUUUGGAAUGUGUGAGGUAGUUGCUACUGUGGGACCUGUCCUGGAAAUUGACAUGAACACUAUUUUAAAAGAAAAAGUCAGAGCUAAGGUGGGAGUCAGGGAUAAUGAAAAAGUCCCCAUACACACCGAAGUGACUGACAAGGAUCUGAUGAUAUAUAGGGUGACCAUGGAGCUAGAGGAAGUAGUAGAGCAGGGAUGGUAUGAAGAGAAAAGAAAAUUUGGAAAUCUGGAAGUUGGACUGAACCCAGAAGAUGAUGGGGGACAGAAAAAAAUCAAAAUUGGAGACAUGGAAACAGAAGGGAACAAAGAGAACAUUUCUCUGGGCAGUGUGGGGCCUAAGCAAUUUGUGGAAUUGAAGCAAAAAAAUGAAGAGAUCUUGAGUAUACAGAGAGAAUGUCUCAUGAAAGUAGGUCUGAGGAAAAAUGUGGAGGCUGAACUUGAAAAAGCUCUGAUAAAAUUCAAAGAUGUGGAGGAAGGCAGAUACAGACAUGAGGCUUGGAGGACAAUGGAAGAAAAUAAAACAACUGCUUGGGAAAUAGAAAGGAAAAAGCUGGUGGAGAUGAUUUAAGGCCAACAAGAACUAAUCAACAAGUGCAUGAAAAAAUUGACACCUGGGAAUAAAAACAAAUAUCUAGGGAUGAGCUAGGAGAGAAAAAUGAAUUUGACCCGGAGAUUCCCCAAGACCCCACACUGGAAGAUGCAUACACAGAACAAGUGGAUUACUUAGCAAGUCAAGACUCUGUUGAAUCUCUGGGCACCAAACUGGGAAUACACAAGAAAGAGGAUGGGGAGAAAGACAAGGACAAGGAUGGCCCUACUAGAAGGAGUGAUAGAAACCUGGAUAAGAAGGAUGUCAAAAUUAAAGACUUGGCCAAGGAAAGGGCAGCUGAAAAAGAUAACUAUGGUGAGAACACUAACUCUUUUAAUGAUAAAAUUUCUUUAUUUGAAAUGGCUAGCAAAGUGGGGAUUGAUGAGAGAUGGCUCCCACCUCCCACCUCCCUCUCCUCUCCUCUCCUACCUGCUCCACCAAAAUUGAUGGUGAUCUCUAAACUGAUUCAAGAUGGAAGGCCUUUUGCAUUGGGAUUUUGCCCCUGGCUUAGCCCUUGCAGAUUAGGUGAGGCAAAAAUUUGGUUCCACGGUGCAUUUUUCUCCCUCCCGAGGCGACAAGGAAUUCUUCCUAGUAGUCUCCUUCUCUUCGGCCUCCUUUCCUCUCCAUGAAGAAUCUGUUGGAAUUGCUCUUCAAUGUUGUAUUGGGGGCAUUAGUUCUGGUUUUAGAGUGCACAAGAUCAAGCCUUCAUUUCUCGGUUGCCAAUAAUAAAGUGGGACAUUUUAUCUACGGUCUUAAAGAUCGUAUUUGGCCGGACUUUAUUUGUCAUUUUCAUCUAUUCAAUGGAGGUUUUGCCUGGGUCCCCACGUCUAAUUGUACUUGGCACGCUGAUGAAGAACUAUCAAAAAUUUCAGCUAGACACCCAAUGGCUAUCAAAUCAGAUUUGGGGUUUCUGAGAACUCGUUCUACUGAGACAGCUUCCUCUCAUGAGUUAUGCAAAUUCUCUUUGGUUCCUCUUGAUGAUAUGGUUUUCUCCAACAAAAAUGCUCAGGAAGCUUCUUCAUCCUCUUCCAUUCCGAAGAACACUCGUGGUAUUCAAAUUCAACUUGGAUCAUUUUUGGCAACAAAGGAUGAGGAGCCGAUAAUUCUGGAUCCUAGGAUUUCAUUAAUGAAGAAAUUGUUGGAAAUAUGCCCUAGAGGCAAUAAUAAAAGUAUUAUUAUUAUAUUUCCUUGUUCAUGAUAAUUGUCUUUUAUUCAUGCUAUAACUGUAUUAUCCGGAAAUCGUAAUACACGUGUGAAUACAUAGACCACAAUAUGUCCCUAGUGAGCCUCUAGUUGACUAGCUCGUUGUGAUCAACAGAUAGUCAUGGUUUCCUGGCUAUGGACAUUGGAUGUCGUUGAUAACGGGAUCACAUCAUUAGGAGAAUGAUGUGAUGGACAAGACCCAAUCCUAAGACUAGCACAAAAGAUCGUGUAGUUCAUUUGCUAGAGCUUUGCCAAUGUCAAGUAUCUUUUCCUUAGACCAUGAGAUUGUGCAACUCCCGGAUACCGUAGGAAUGCUUUGGGUGUACCAAACGUCACAACGUAACUGGGUGGCUAUAAAGGUGCAUCACAGGUAUCUCCGAAAGUGUCUGUUGGGUUGGCACGAAUCGAGACUGGGAUUUGUCACUUCGUGUAAACGGAGAGGUAUCUCUGGGCCCACUCGGUAGGACAUCAUCAUAUGCGCAAUGUGACCAAGGAGUUGAUCACGGGAUGAUGUGUUACGGAACGAGUAAAAGUGACUUGCCGGUAACGAGAUUGAACAAGGUAUUGGAUACCGACGAUCGAAUCUCGGGCAAGUAAAAUACCGCUAGACAAAGGGAAUAGUAUACGGGAUUGAUUAAGUCCUUGACAUCGUGGUUCAUCCGAUGAGAUCAUCGUGGAACAUGUGGGAGCCAACAUGGGUAUCCAGAUCCCGCUGUUGGUUAUUGACCGGAGAACGUCUCGGUCAUGUCUACAUGUCUCCCGAACCCGUAGGGUCUACACACUUAAGGUUCGAUGACGCUAGGGUUAUAAAGGAAGCUUGUAUGUGGUUACCGAAUGUUGUUCGGAGUCCCAGAUGAGAUCCCGGACGUCACGAGGAGUUCCGGAAUGGUCCGGAGGUAAAGAUUUAUAUAUAGGAAGUCCUGUUUCGGCCAUCGGGACAAGUUUCGGGGUCAUCGGUAUUGUACCGGGACCACCGGAAGGGUCCCGGGGGCCCACCGGGUGGGGCCACCUGCCCCGGGGGGCCACAUGGGCUGUAGGGGGUGCGCCUUGGCCUACAUGGGCCAAGGGCACCAGCCCCAAGAGGCCCAUGCGCAAGGAAACUUGGAGAGGGAAGAGUCCUAAAGGGGGAAGGCACCUCCGAGGUGCCUUGGGGAGGAUGGACUCCUCCCCAUCCUUAGCCGCACCCCUUCCUUGGAGGAGGGGGCAAGGCUGCGCCCUCCCCUCUCCCUUGGCCCUAUAUAUAGUGGGGAAAAGGAGGAGCAAUCAGACCUAAGGCCUUUGGUUGCCUCCCUCUCCCUCCCGUGACACAUCUCCUCUCCCGUAGGUGCUCGGCGAAGCCCUGCAGGAUUGCCACGCUCCUCCAUCACCACCAUGCCGUUGUGCUGCUGCUGGAUGGAGUCUUCCUCAACCUCUCCCUCUCUCCUUGCUGGAUCAAGGCGUGGGAGACAUCGUCGAGCUGUACGUGUGUUGAACGCGGAGGUGCCGUCCGUUCGGCACUAGGAUCAUCGGUGAUCUGAAUCACGACGAGUACGACUCCAUCAACCCCGUUCACUUGAACGCUUCCGCUUAGCGAUCUACAAGGGUAUGUAGAUGCACUCCUUUCUACUCGUUGCUGGUCUCUCCAUAGAUAGAUCUUGGUGUUACGUAGGAAAUUUUUUGAAUUUCUGCUACGUUCCCCAACAGAAAUAUCUUCGUUCAGUGGAAUUGGAGGAAGAGCACAAUCCGGCGUGUCUCCGUUUGGGUGCAUUUAAUUGCCCCAUUGAUGUUUCUUAUCAUGUCCCACCGCAGUGUUUCCUUAAUUCGGCGUUCAAAUAUGCCCCAGCCCUUUCUUUUUGGCCCCCUAGACUAUCGGCCCAGCAUAAGGCUGAUUUGGCCCAGGCAUCCUACACUGAGGAGGAGAUUACUACUCUCACUAAUAAUUGGGCGGUCUUGUGUGCUCGCUGCUUACAAUGGGGUCAUCCAAAGAUUCACUACCCGGCUAGGCUGAUUUGCAUUAAGUGCUCUGCACCUGACCACGAGGUAACUAAUUGCCCGGCUCGGAUUACUCAGCAACAUAUUGGACUAGUUGAUGUCGUUAGGCCUCAUAGUAUCAAUCCUCCCAGCUUUCCCGUUGCCCCGGAUUCUAAUAUGCAUAAACGCAACUGGAAAUCGACCGUCCGAUGCGAGGCUUGCAGCCACUAUGGACACUUGGCACAAUCUUGUCGUUGGAGGCGGUGGCGUGCACGUUGGUAGUGGAUCCCCAAAAAUCCCCAACCUACCAAAAAUGCCCCUCACAUUUCCGCUUCUACUCGGUUUCCUCAAACGACACCGCCCUGCCCCAGCCAUUCGUCCCCGCUUCCACCCCCGUCACCUUAGCCGCUCUCCAUCCGCACCACCACCAUGGCAAACUACACUCUCAACUCGGUGCCUUUCCUGCCCCCGGGAUUCGCCGUCGAACAAGGACCGGUGGAUCGUGUCGUCCGUAGUGGCAUGGUCGUCGGGCCACUCCCGCUGCUCAACCACGACUAUCUGGCCAUUGCGGAGUCCAGUCAUUACGUACCUCUGCAUCGCCAUGCCAUCAUCCAUCAUGCCAUCAGAGGUUUGCUUCACGAGGCCCAGCUUUUCACUACUGAAGUUAGCGAUCAUCCAUUUGGAAUCGGGAUUUUUGGCUUUGCGGAUUCAUUCCUCAGAGAUACUGCGGUAGCCACGCCAUUAGAACUCGAGGACGAAGAUCUGCUCAUCACAUUUGUUCCUCAUAAUGAAGCGCUUAACCGUCAUACCACCUCUUUUGGUCCUGAGAUCUGGUUGAUGUAUUUUGGAUUUCCGUAUGAUUACCAGACAGAUUAUUACAUCAAUAAGUCUCUUGGUGGUUUUGGUGCCAUUGUGUCUUGGUAUAAUCCCCACCAAGAUCGACGUUUCAUGCUGAUCAAAGCCAGAGUUCUGAGAUUGAACCUUGUGCCAAAGAGAUUUGUGGUAUGGCAGCUAGGUGGAGCACGUGAUUGUUGGACAGUGCAGAUCACAAUACUCCGAAGCAAUGACUGGAAUGGUCAAACAACAAAAGCCGUGUACUAACUCUGAGCAGCCACCAAUUUAUGGUGUAGGGGGUGGGCUAUUUAUAGCCACUGGGCAACCCGACCUGAUUUGUCUGAAAUGACCCUGGGUCACUAAGGAACUUACACGUGUCACAACGGUCAGAUUUCAAACACACACGGCAACUUGACUUGGGCUACAAGUAAAGCUGACUCACCUGACUCUGGAUAAGAUUUGCUCUCAUUGUCUUCGCUCGAAGACAUAGGAUUUGGUUGAGCAUCACUUCAGUCACUCUGAUUUUGUUCACUUGGACCUCACUUAACAGUGCGGUGGUUCCUAUGACUCAACAAAGAAGAAAAAGAAACAACAAAACAACUAAGUCUUCGCGCUCCAUAGUCUUCACUCGAUGUCUUCUCAUGUCAUAGUCUUCAACAUGAAUAGCUUCACAGACCACCAUUGUCUUCAAUGUCUUCACACAUUUUUAGGGGUCAUCUCCGGUAGGUAAACCGAAUCAAUGAGGGACUACUACCUGUGUUAUCCUGCAAUUCUCACAAACACAUUAGUCCCUCAACCAGGUUUGUCGUCAAUACUCCAAAACCAACUAGGGGUGGCACUAGAUGCAAUUACAUAUCACUAUCUCUUCGUUGAACUAGUGCACCUAUAUAAUUUACCAUUGUAUUGGGUGUGUUGGGGACAAAACAGAUUUCUUGUAUUUGAUUGCAGGGUUAUUCGAGAGAGACAAUCUUCAUCCUACACCUCCCAUAGAUUGAUAAAAAUUAGGUCAUCCACUUAAGGGAAUAUUGCUGCUGUCCUACAAAACUCUGUGCUUAGAGGGCCAACAGAGUCUACAAGAAGAAAGUUGCAUAGUAGACAUCACUUACCAGCAUAGGACGUGGUAGGUGCAUCCCCGGUGUCAACGUGUUCAUCAUCCCACCAUUUGUCCGUGCAUAUGUUUGUUUGUUUUUAGUCCAACCUCUUCAGCUCCACACGUCAAUUUUUAGUGGCCUGCACAUGACACAUAUGUUUCUUACACAUUUUUUUUCCAAAUCUAGUAGUAUACACAUGGUCAAGGUAGUUGAUUACACGUGGAAAGUCUAUUGGAUUUACACAUUUAUUUUCCAAUUUGACAACUUCUUUUUUGUGUCACUUACUUGCAUAAGUUGUCAUAGGUUUGUUCCCCGUUGUCAGCAUGUACAUCAUUCCAGUUUUUCGACCUACAUUUUUUGUUUGACUGUUUUCAAUCCAUUUUUGUAUCUCCUGCUCAUUUGCAGAAAUAUUAGAUCACAUACGGCAAAUCUAGUGGAACACACGUGGCAAAUCUAUUGCACCACACAUGGUAAAUCUAGUGAACUACGCAUGGCAAGUCUAGUGCAUCACACAUGGCAAAUAUAGCUGAGUCCACAUGGAAAAUAUAUUGGGUUACACAUGGUAAAGUUGUUGGAUUACACACAGCAAACAUGCUGGAUUGCACAUUCCAAAUCUAGCAUCUUCCACAUGGCCAACCCACUUUGUCUGACCGGAAUUGGGUUGUUACCAUGUGGUUUUCUACGACAAAUACUAGAUACAUAUUUUUUAUUUCUUAUAUGAUUGCAUGGCAAAUUGUAAACAAACCACAUGGCAACAACUGACCACACUACAUGUCAACUAUAACCUUUUCAUCUCUUUAAGUACGAUACUUCUUUUCUUUGUUCAAUUUUACAUGGCAAAUAUGAGUUUGAUUUCACUACAUUUUGACAACACUUACAUCAUAUACUUGCAUACUCCCCCACAAAAUUUGCCAUUUUUUACUUGUGCGUACGAGCAGAUUUUUUGGGUCUUACCGGCAUAAGAGGUUGAUGACAGGUCUCCCAUCGUCAGCUAAUGUCGUGCGCUCCCCAUACCCCACCCCACAUGCAUUUUAAAACUAUAAGUUUGUUAGGUCAUUAUUUAUGUUUUUUCCCGUGUUGCUUGGUAUUGUUAUUUCACUCUUCUCUUCACCAUCCCAUAUUUUUUUUCGUACGCUUUGUUUUUUGACAUACCUAGAUUUGCUCCUGUUACUUGAAGUUGGUGUCCCGAAUAUUGAGUAUCCGUAGAUCCUUCUGGUGUAGCUUGCCACGUCACUCAUAAUAGUGUAGUUGUAUUGAAAGCCCGUGCAAACAUAUCUUUUUGUUAUACAUGUUUAGAAGCCAGCAAUCAUACACUAUUGGCACAUGUUUUAUGGGGUUUUAGACGCUAAAAAUUACUGGCAACUCUCGCUCAAAACAUUAAAUUUUUUCCAUGUUAUUAUUACAAACAUGGCAAACCUCAUUUUUCAUUAUAGUUCUUACCCAUGUCUGAAUAUUGUUGUAGUAGUGGCAACAAUGGCCAGCUAAAAUGAGUUCCUCAUAGUCUAGCGCAUCCCAUGCGGGUGCUCGUGCCGGUCUGAAUAACCAAGGAUUAGACCCGUCUCCAGGAUCCAUUCGCCUUCACUCGUAUUUUUCUGUUUUACCAUGUAGAGUGACAUGGCAACUUUAGUGCCAACUGGGAUAGCAAGUAUCACUAGCAUGCCAUGGCAACUAAAAGCAACAUCUUAUGGGCAUUGUCAGCAACUAACUGCAACCGUACAUGGCAAAUGGCCUACAACUAGGGUUGCAAGUACUAUUACAUUGACACGGCACAUUACCUGUAGCGUGGGUGGCAAGUAUCACUGGAAUUACUUGGCAAAAUAAAAGAGGCACAAGAUGGCCAUUUCCCCUUGGCUACUAAGGUGGCAACUACUUCCUAGAUUGCACGACUACUAACUGCGAAAAUACUUGGCAAUUUUCCCAACUUUCCAACUAGUGUUGGAUUGUAUGUCAUGUUUUCCCUCCCCUGCUGAAUGCUCUAUUUUCUGAUAUGUCCUCCUGCUCUAACUAACAUGGAAGAAACCAAAAUGUAGUGGCAACUGUUUGGGUGUGGCUUCACCAAGUUCCAAACAUGGCAUACACCAAAAAAUCUCAAAGAAAAAAGUGAAUGCACAUGGCAAUUCCUUCUUAGGGGACAUAUCUAGCUAUUUGCUGCCUCCGGAUUUAUGGUUUGAAACUAAACAAACAAAUUUCCUGGCAAGAAUUAGAAAGAGGGGGAGGGGUGUCGGUGUCAAAACCGGUGGAUCUCGGGUAGGGGGUCCCGAUCUAUGCGUCUUAGGCUGAUGGUAACAGGAAGCAAGGGACACAAUGUUUACCCAGGUUCGGGCCCUCUCGAUGGAGGUAAAACCCUACUUCCUGCUUGAUUAAUAUUGACGAUAUGAGUAGUACAAGAGUAGAUCUACCACGAGAUCGUAGAGGCUAAACCCUAGAAGCUAGCCUAUGAUGAUUAUGAUUGUAGUUGUGAUCGGCCUUCUAAGGACCAACCUCUCCGGUUUAUAUAGACAUUGGAGAGGGCUAGGGUUUACAUGGAGUCGGUUACAAGGAAGGAAAUAUAAUAUCCGGAUCGCCAAGCUUGUCUUCCACGCAAAGGAGAAUCCCAUCCGGACACGGGACGGAGUCUUGAGUCUUGUAUCUUCACGCUCCAAUAGUCCGGAUGAUGUGUAUAGUCCGGCUGUCCGGAUACCCCCUAAUCCAGGACUCCCUCAGUAGCCCCUGAACCAGGCUUCAAUGACGAUGAGUCCGGCGCACAGUCUUGUCUUCGGCAUUGCAAGGCGGGUUCCUUCUCCGAAUACUCCAAGGUAAUCAUCAAACACGUAAACCAUGUCCGGAUCUGUAAAAUGAUCUUCACACACCAUCGUAGAGAGAAUGAUAUUUCAGCUGACAACUUUUUAGAAGACGUGAUAUGUCAUUAUGGUCGGGUCUUUAUUCAAACCAUUUUCCCACAACCAGCCACAGCGCAUAUUGCGAGGCGGUUUCCUUGACACGUCUUGUCAAAGCAGAGAUCGUGUCCCCUUAUCACGGGAUUCUCAUCAAUACGGGUAUGGGUAAUCCCAUCAUGCCAUCAAUCGUGUUGUUUGGGAAGCAAGCGAUUCUCAACGGGCAAGUGGGGAGGCGCACCGCUUUUGUCGCCUCUAUAAAGGGAUAAGAGUUCCCCAUUUUUACCCACGCCUUCUUCCUCCUUUGCCUACCCUUGCCCCUUCAAGCUCCAGCGCCCUAGUCCAAGUCUUCUCCGCAUAGCUAAACAUGUCCGGAGCAGGAGGCAAGUGGGUGGCCUCCAUCAUGAAAGAGAAGCAUAUUGCGAAUCUUCGGGCGGCUAGAUACUUGGCCGCAGACAUCGCGCACCGUCUACCGGACAAAGGGCAGGCCAUUCCAACACCGGAACCUCAUGAGAGGGUCGUGUUCGUCGCCCACUUCGUCCGUGGACUGGGAUUUCCACUCAUCCCUUCGUCCGCGGGCUCAUGUUCUACUACGGGCUAGAUUUCCAUGAUCUAGCCCCAAAUUUCGUCCUCAACAUCUCGGCGUUCAUCGUCGUAUGCGAGGCCUUCCUCCGGAUCAAGCCUCACUUCGGCCUGUGGCUGCAAAUCUUCUGCGUGAAGCCAAAGAUCGUGAGCGGCCAGCAAGUGGAGUGCGGAGGGGGCAUGGUGGGCAAGAUGCCUAACGUCACCUGGCUUGACGGCUCCUUUGCGGAGACCAUGAAAGGAUGGCAAUCGGGGUGGUUCUACAUCACCGAUCCGCGCGGUGCCAACUGGGCAGCGGCCCCCGAGUUCUAAUCCGGAACCCCCAUGUGGCUCACCUCCUGGGAAAAGAAGGGCCUGGCCUGGGGCGAACCUACACAGCUGACCGGACUCCAAAACUGCAUCAAGAGCAUGAAGGAAAAGAACAUCAAGCUUGUCAACGUGAUCCAGGUCAUGCUCGUUCGCCGGAUUCUGCCAUGCCAAAGGCGGGCAUUUAAUCUGUGGGAGUUCAUCCCGGCCGAACACCAGACGCUUCGGAGGCUCUACGGCAUGACGCAUAAAGAAGCAUGGAAGGCGCUGUUCAAGGCCUCGGAAGUACCACCUCCCACAUCUGAGGACCGUGGACUUCACACCGCGCGGCCUCCUCGUCCGGUGAGUUUUCUGACUACCACCGGAUUCAGCUCUUCCCAAUAUAUUCGUGGGGGAGUCUUAAGUAAUUGUGCAUAUUUAAUCAGGAUUAUGUGGAGACAGCGGAGCAGAUUGACUGUGUGGCUCCGCUACCAGAAGGCCCAGCUGAUGCUCUCCUGACGGAGAUGCUAGUCCCGCACCCUACAAGGCACCGGAGAAGAAGGCCGAAAAGAAGGCCCCGGGGACCAGGAAGGGUCUCCGGCGUAAGGUUGUACCAGAAGCCUCGUCCGAAGACGAUGAGGCACACUCCUCCCCCGAAGGGGAGGAAGAAGAAGAAGGGGCCACCCCAUCCGGAGAGGAUGAGGGGCCUGAGAAGGCAGACCAGGGGGCCGGGAAAGGCCCCCGGCGCAAGGCCGUCAUACCCUCGUCGUCCGACGAUGACGAGGCAGAUUCCUCCCGCGGAGGCGGGGGGAAGCAAGAAGAAACUCUACCUCCCCGCACUGGGGAGGAGAAAAAGAGGAAAGCCGCCCAGGAGGAGGGGGUUGGGAUAUCCAAGAAGGGAAAGAUGUCCCUUCCGGACUACUCCACCAUGACCGCUCAUAGCGAGGAGGGGUGGCUGCCCAGGGGGAAGCCCCUAGCGUGAUCGUAAGUAUCCGCACUCUAUCGUGAUUUUACUUCAUAGUAUUUUUAUGACGCCGAACCUAUAUGUAGUCCGGCCAGGGUUCAUCCCGAGGUAUCAUCUUCGAAUGGGUCCCUGAGCGAUUCAGCGAUGAACUCGCUCCCGACGGCCACUACUCCUCAGCCCGCGGAUGACACGGAGGUGCUGUCCCAAAGGCUCCUAGAGCGGAGGGAGGUGACUUUGGAGACGCCCCAAGGCGGAAUUCCAGAUGUUGGACACGCGGGGUUCAAGAUCCCCGUGGAUCGUGUCGAUGAGAGCCGCAGUAAGCCGGGCUCUCAGCCGGACACUGCUCCGGAACCUUCAAUGGUUCCGGACUCAGGCGGGCAGCCCCUCAUUAGGAAGGGCGAGCCGUCCGUGCCGAGGACUUCUGCUACCUCUUGAGCACUGCGUUGAAUUUCCCCGAAGAUGAAGGAUGAUGCAGCAAAGUAGCGUAAGUAUUUCCCUUAGUUUUUGAGAACCAAGGUAUCAAUCCAGUAGGAGACCAUGCACAAGUCCCUCGUACCUGCACAAAAUGAUAGCUACUCGCAACCAACGCGAUUAGGGGUUGUCAAUCCCUUCACGGUCACUUACGAGGGUGAGAUCUGAUAGAGAUGAUAAAUAAUAUUUUUGGUAUUUUUGAUAGAUAGAUGCAAAGUGAAAAGUAAAAGGCAAAGUAAAAACAAAGCAAGUAAUAAAGCGAUAGAGAUUGAUAUGAUGAGAAUAGACCCAGGGGCCAUAGGUUUCACUAGUGGCUUCUCUCAAGAGCAUAGAUAUUCUACGAUGGGUGAACAAAUUACUGUUGAGCAAUUAACAGAAUUGAGCAUAGUUAUGAGUAUAUCUAGGUAAUGAUCAUGUAUAUAGGCAUCACGUCUAAGACAAGUAGAUUGAAACGAUUCUGCAUCUACUACUAUUACUUCAGUCAUCGACCGCUAUCCAGCAUGCAUCUAGAGUAUUAAGUUAAAAACAGAGUAACGCCUUAAGCAAGAUGACAUGAUGUAGAGGGAUAAAUUCAUGCAAUAUGAUAAAAAAACCAUAUUAUUAUCCUCGAUGGCAACAAUACAAUACGUGCCUUGCUGCCCCUGCUGUCACUGGGAAAGGACACCACAAGAUUGAACCCAAAGCUAAGCACUUCUCCAUUGCAAGAACUACCAAUCUAGUUGGCCAAACCAAAAAGGAUAAUUCGAAGAGACUUGCAAAGAUAACUCAAUCAUAGAUAAAAGAAUUCAGAGGAGAUUCGAAUAUUUUCCAUAGAUAAACUGGAUCAUAAACACACAAUUCAUCGGUCUCAACAAACACACCGCAAAAAGAAGAUUACAUCGAAUAGAUCUCCACGAGAGAGAGGGAGAACAUUGUAUUGAGAUCCAAAAAGAGAGAAGAAGCCAUCUAGCUACUAGCUAUGGACCCGAAGGUCUGAAGUAAACUACUCGCACUUCAUCGGAGGGGCUAUGGUGUUGAUGUAGAAGCCCUCCGUGGUGGAUGCCCCCUCCAGCGGAGCUCCGGAACAGGCCCCAAGAUGGGAUCUCGUGGAUAUAGAAGGUUGCGGCGGUGGAAUUAGGUUUUUGGCUCCUUGUUCUGAUCGUUUGGGGAUACGUAGGUAUAUAUAGGAGGAAGGAGUACGUCGGUGGAGCAACAGGGGGCCCACGAGGUAGGGGGCGCGCCCAAGGGGGCGCCUCCCACCCUCGUGACCGCCUCUUUUGUUCCUUGGAGCAAGGUCCAAGUCUCCUGGAUCACGUUCGGUGAUAAAAUCACGUUCCCGAAGGUUUUAUUCCGUUUGGACUCCGUUUGAUAUUUUGUUUCUUCGAAACACUGAAAUAGGCAAAAAACUGCAAUUCUGGGCUGGGCCUCCAGUUAAUAGGUUAGUCCCAAAAAUAAUAUAAAUGUGUAAAAUAAAGCCCAAUAUAGUCCAAAACAGUAGAUAAAGUAGCAUGGGGCAAUCAAAAAUUAUAGAUACGUUGGAGACGUAUCAGGCAUCCCCAAGCUUAAUUCCUGCUCGUCCUCGAGUAGGUAAAUGAUAAAAAAGAAUUUUUGAUGCGGAGUGAUACUUUGGCAUAAUUUCAAUGUAAAUCUUCUUAAUUGUGAUAUGAAUAUUCAGAUCCGAAAGAUUCAAGACAAAAGUUCAUAUUGACAUAAAAAAUAUUAAUACUUCAAGCAUACUAAUCAAAGCAAUCAUGUCUUCUCAAAAUAACAUGGCCAAAGAAAGUUAUCCCUACAAAAUCAUAUAGUCUGGCUAUGCUCCAUCUUCCCCACACAAAAUAUUUAAAUUAUGCACAACCCCGAUGACAAGCCAAGCAAUUGUUUCAUACUUAUGACAUUCUCAAAACUUUUUCAAUCUUCACGAAUACAUGAGCGUGAGCCAUGGAUAUAGCACUAUGUGGAAUAGAAUGGUGGUUGUGGAGAAGACAAAAAGAGGGAAGAUAGUCUCACAUCAACUAGACGUAUAAACGGGCUAUGGAGAUGCCCAUCAAUAGAUAUCAAUGUGAGUGAGUAGGGAUUGCCAUGCAACGGAUGCACUAGAGCUAUAAGUAUAUGAAAGCUCUACAAAAGAAACUAAGUGGGUGUGCAUCCAACUCGCUUGCUCGGGAAGACCUAGGGCGUUUUGAGGAAGCCCAUCAUUGGAAUAUACAAGCCAAGUUCUAUAAUGAAAAAAUCCCACUAGUAUAUGAAAGUGACAAAAUGAGAGACUCUCUAUCAUGAAGAUCUUGGUGCUACUUUGAAGCACAAGUGUGGUAAAAGGAUAGUAGUAUUGUCCCUUCUCUCUUUUUCUCUCUUUUUUUUAUUUGGGCCUUUCUAUUUUUUUGGCCUCUUUUUUUCGUCCGGAGUCUCAUCCCGACUUAUGGGGGAAUCAUAGUCUCCAUCAUCCUUUCCUCACUUGGGACAAUGCUCUAAAAAAUGAUGAUCAUCACACUUUUAUUUUCUUACAACUCAACAAUUACAACUCGAUACUUAGAACAAAGUAUGACUCUAUAUGAAUGCCUCCGGCGGUGUACCGGGAUAUGCAAUGAAUCAUGAGUGACAUGUAUGAAAGAAUUAUGAACGGUGGCUUUGCCACAAAUACGAUGUCAACUACAUGAUCAUGGUAGCAAUAUGAUAAUGAUGGAGCGUGUCAUAAUAAACGGAACGGUGGAAAGUUGCAUGGCAAUAUAUCUCGGAAUGGCUAUGGAAAUGCCAUGAUAGGUAGGUAUGGUGGCUGUUUUGAGGAAGGUAUAUGGUGGGUGUAUGAUACCGGCGAAAAGUGUGCGGUAUUAAAGAGGCUAGCAAAGGUGGAAGGAUGGGAAAAAGUGCGUAUAAUCCAUGGACUCAACAUUAGUCAUAAAGAACUCAUAUACUUAUUGCAAAAAUCUAGAAGUUAUCAAAGCAACGUAUUACGUGCAUGCUCCUAGGGGGAUAGAUUGGUAGGAAAAGACCAUCGCUCGUCCCCGAUCGCCACUCAUAAGGAAGACAAUCAAUAAAUAAAUCAUGCUCCGAGUUCAUCACAUAACGGUUCACCAUACGUGCAUGCUACGGGAAUCACAGACUUCAACACAAGUAUUCUUUGAAUUCACAACUACUUAACUAGCAUGACUCUAAUAUCACCAUCUUCAUAUCUCAAAAAAAUUAUCAAGCAUCAAACUUAUCUUAGUAUUCAACGCACUCAAAAGAAAGUUUCACAUAUCUCGAACACCAAGUAUAUUAACAUUAAGCAAAUUACCAUGCUAUUAACGACUCUCAAAAUAAUCUAAGUGAAGCAUGAGAGAUCAAUAGUUUCUUUAAAACAAAUCCACCACCGUGCUCUAAAAGAUAUAAGUGAAGCACUAGAGCAAAAAUUAUCACGCUCAAAAGAUAUAAGUGAAGUACUAUGAGCAAAACUAUCAAGCUCAAAAGAUAUCAGUGAAGCACAUAGAGUAUUCUAACAAAUUCCAAUUCAUGUAUGGCUCUCUCAAAAGGUGUGUACAGCAAGGAUGAUUGUGGUAGACUAACAAGCAAAGAUGCAAAUAAUACAAGACUCUCCAAGCAAAACACAUAUCAUGUGGUGAAUAAAAAUAUAGCUCCAAGUAAAUUACCGAUGGAAGUGGACGAAAGAGGGGAUGACUUCCGGGGCAUCCCCAAGCUUUGACUUUUUGGUGUCCUUGGAUUAUCUUGGGGGUGCCAUGGGCAUCCCCAAGCUUACCCUCUUGCCACUCCUUGUUCCAUAAUCCAUCAAAAGAAUUCACCCAAAACUUGAAAACUUCACAACAAAAAACUCAACAGAAAUCUCGUGAGCUCCGUUAGAGAAAGAAAACAAAGAACUACUUAAGGUACUGUAAUGAACUCAUUCUUUAUUUAUAUUGGUGUUAAACCUACUGUAUUCCAACUUCUCUAUGGAUUAUAAACUAUUUUACUAGCCAUAGAUUCGUCAAAAUAAGCAAACAACACCCGUAAAACAGAAUCUGUCAAAAACAGAACAGUCUGUAGCAAUCUGUAACUAACGCAAACUUCUGGAACUCUAAAAAUUCUACCAAAAUAGUAAGUCCUGGAAAAUUUGUCUAUUGAACAUAAGCAAAAAAGAAUCAACGCAAAAGCACGUUCCUGUGAUUUAACAAAAUUAUAUUCGUGCGCACAAAGUUUCUGUUUUUCAGCAGAAUCAAAUCAACUAUCAUCGUAGGUUAUCCUAUAGGUUCUACUUGGCACAAACACUAAUUAAAACAUAAAACCACAUCCAAACAGAGGCUAGAUGGAUUAUUUAUUCCUAAACAGAAGCAAAAACAAAAAACACAAAUAAAAUUGGGUUGCCUCCCAACAAGCGCUAUCGUUUAACGCCCCUAGCUAGGCAUAAAAGCAAGGAUAGAUCUAGGUAUUGCCAUCUUUGGUAGUCAAUUCUUCGAUGAGGUAUCUACCCCUUUUAGAAUUUUCUUUCUCUCUAGUAAUUAUCAAAUUUUCAGGAAAAAGAUCAAAAAAUUCAUUUAUAGCAAAUGGUUCCUUAAUGAUGGUAAAAAGAUUGGGAUGAACACUUAUAGAUUUAAGAUCCGCAGUUUCCUUACUAGAUGAUUCUCCCUUAUUCUUAGGAACAUAAAUAAGCUUAGUUUUUUUAGUAGAAUAACUUGGAGUGUUUUGAACGGAAGAAAAAACGGUUCCCAAGUUGGUAAUGAUACCUCAAGUUUAUCGAUUCUUGUGGAAUCUAGAUUUAUUUUCUCAUUAACUAUGGGUUCUUUUUCUUUAAUAUUUUUGAAAGUCAUUCCUACCUUAGAUCCAUAUUGGGUAAUUUGAUUGUGGAUCUUUUUAUCAAGAUUUUCAAUUGAUUCAAUGGUAGCAACUUUAUUCUCAAUAGUUUCAAGCCUUUGCAUAACAUGCUCCAAAGUUAACGUAGUUCCAUUAAUCAAAAAGGGUGGUGAGCCAAAUAUAUCUAUUAAAGCAUUAUAAGAAUCAAAAGUAUGGCUACCCAAGAAAUUCCCUCCGGUAAUGGUAUCAAGGAUAUAUCUAUACCAAGGAUUAGCACCUACGUAAAAAUUACGAAGAAGAACUGAAGUAGAUUGCUUCCUGGUAGAUCUAUUUUGAGCAUUGCAAAUUCUAUACCAAGCAUCUUUUAAAUUUUCUCCCUCCCUUUGCUUAAAAUUUAGAACAUCAUUCUCGGGAUAUAGCGGAGAAGAUAUGAGACUAGUCAUGACGACAAGCAAGCAAACUAACACACGAGCAAACAAAAAGGCAACGGGAAAGAGAGGAGGAGAUUGGGAAAGAGAGGGCGAAUAAAACGGCAAGGGUGAAGUGGGGGAGAGGAAAACGAGAGGCAAAUGGCAAAUAAUGUAAUGCGAGAGAUAGGGAUUGUGAUGGGUACUUGGUAUGGUUGACUUGCUUGCGUGAGACUCCCCAGCAACGGCGCCAAAAAUUCUUCUUGCUACCUCUUGAGCACUGCGUUGUAUUUCCUCGAAGAGGAGAGGAUGAUGCAGCAAAGUAGCGUAAGUAUUUCCCUCAGUUUUUGAGAACCAAGGUAUCAAUCCAGUAGGAGACCACACACAAGUCCCUCGUACCUGCACAAAAUGAUAGCUACUCGCAACCAACACGAUUAGGGUUUGUCAAUCCCUUCACGGUGACUUACAAGAGUGAGAUCUGAUAGAGAUGAUAAAUAAUAUUUUUGGUAUUUUUGAUAGAUAGAUGCAAAGUGAAAAGUAAAAGGUAAAGUAAAAACAAAGCAAGUAAUAAAGCGAUAGAGAUUGAUAUGAUGAGAAUAGACCCGGGGGCCAUAGGUUUCACUAGUGGCUUCUCUCAAGAGCAUAGAUAUUCUACGGUGGGUGAACAAAUUACUGUUGAGCAAUUGACAGAAUUGAGCAUAGUUAUGAGUAUAUCUAGGUAAUGAUCAUGUAUAUAGGCAUCACGUCCGAGACAAGUAGAUCAAAAAGAUUCUGCAUCUACUACUAUUACUCCACUCAUCGACCGAUAUCCAGCAUGCAUCUAGAGUAUUAAGUUAAAAACAUAGUAACGCCUUCAGCAAGAUGACAUGAUGUAGAGGGAUAAAUUCAUGCAAUAUGAUAAAAAAAACCAUCUUGUUAUCCUCGAUGGCAACAAUACAAUACGUGCCUUGCUGCCCCUGCUGUCACUGGGAAAGGACACCACAAGAUUGAACCCAAAGCUAAGCACUUCUCCAUUGCAAGAACUACCAAUCUAGUUGGCCAAACCAAAAAGGAUAAUUCGAAGAGACUUGCAAAGAUAACUCAAUCAUAGAUAAAAGAAUUCAGAGCAGAUUCAAAUAUUUUCCAUAGAUAAACUGGAUCAUAAACACACAAUUCAUCGGUCUCAACAAACACACCGCAAAAAUAAGAUUACAUCGAAUAGAUCUCCACGAGAGAGAGGGAGAACAUUGUAUUGAGAUCCAAAAAGAGAGAAGAAGCCAUCUAGCUACUAGCUAUGGACCCGAAGGUCUGAAGUAAACUACUCGCACUUCAUCGGAGGGGCUAUGGUGUUGAUGUAGAAGCCCUCCAUGGUGGAUGCCCCCUCCAGCGGAGCUCCGGAACAGGCCCCAAGAUGGGAUCUCGUGGAUACAGAAGGUUGCGGCGGUGGAAUUAGGUUUUUGGCUCCUUGUUCUGAUCGUUUGGGGAUACGUAGGUAUAUAUAGGAGGAAGGAGUACGUCGGUGGAGCAACAGGGGGCCCACGAGGUAGGGGGCGCGCCCAAGGGGGCGCCUCCCACCCUCGUGACCGCCUCUUUUGUUCCUUGGAGCAGGGUCCAAGUCUCCUGGAUCACGUUCGGUGAGAAAAUCACGCUCCCGAAGGUUUUAUUCCGUUUGGACUCCGUUUGAUAUUCCGUUUUUUCGAAACACUGAAAUAGGCAAAAAACAGGAAUUCUGGGUUGGGCCUCCGGUUAAUAGGUUAGUCCCAAAAAUAAUAUAAAAGUGGAAAAUAAAGCCCAAUAUAGUCCAAAACAGUAGAUAAAGUAGCAUGGAGCAAUCAAAAAUUAUAGAUACGUUGGAGACGUAUCAACUUCCGUCACGCCAAAGGCGUCGGAUAGUCUGGUGGAAGCGCUUCGAGGCGCUUCCAUGGAUGACGAGCACCGUACUCUUAUGAGUGUGGUGAUUCAAAGGGUUCUGUCCGCCAAGAGCGGACUAACUGAAGCCUGCACAAGCCUCCUGACGGGCUUCGAGGUAAGUAGGAAAUAUGUAAAAUUACCACCCAAUAGGUAGUAGCCCCUGAUACUCUGUUCGGUGUUCGGAAGGAAAAGCCAAACAGAGGGUCAAUUAUAAUCCACAGGAGUCUAAUAGUAAGUGUGUAUGUCAAUAAGCAGGCGGUGCUGCUUGCCGCUGCUGUCCGCACAGCCGAGGUCGCCGGACUAAAGCAGGACCUGGAGCAGGCGCAGGGAGAGCUCGACCUCACGAAGAGGCAGCUUGAAGAGAACAAAGGCGAGUAAUUCCCCGCUCUCAUAUAAUGAAGAAUAGGCAAAAUUGGUUAUUCUAACGGUAAAGCAUCAUGACUUUGCAACAGGGGCCACCACCGAAGUGGCGUCUCUGAAGAAAGCAUUAUCCGAGGCUGAGGACAAGGCGGCUCUGGAGCAUAAAGAGCGUGAGAAGCAAGAUGCUAGGGUAGGCGAGGUACAGCAAGAGCUCCAGGAACUCGGUAAAAAGUUCGAGUCCUUGGAGCAUGAUCUUAAGAUGAAAGAGUCCGAGCUUGCGAAGGCCCUUGUGUGUAUGAAAGACGCCAAGGACGAAGCUGAGAAGGCAUAGCAGGAAAUCCAGGCGGCCAAAAAGAUAGCGGCGGGUAAGACAUUCUUUAUGCAAAGCAAACAUGUGGAGGAGGCGUUUCUUUUACUUACCCGAAUUCGGAGCUCUCCAAGGGCAUUCGCAGAUCUGCCACACAGCGUCUCAGAUGUUGCGGAGUUCUACCGUGCCGAGGAGGGGAGCUCUACGGAGAAGCUAUUCUGGUCCGAGUAUGCUGGGGCCGAACACCCAAUGCCUCUGAGUGACCAAUUGAAGCAGUUGGUUGAACUCCACAGUGCGGACGAAGUGGCUAUGAAAGAUUUCAUAGUCUGGAUGUGGCCUGGUGAGCCUCUGCCCACUAGCUACUUCGGCAUGAUCAAGCGGAUGGUGAAUGCCUGUCCGCAGCUUGAAGUCAUCAAGUGAUCCGUUUGCAUUGAGGAUGCCCACCGGGCCUUUGCCCGCGCGAAGGUGCAUUGGGGCAAGUUGGAUGCAGAGAAGCUGGUGAAGGACGGGACGCCGGAGGGCAAGGCGCAUCGCUAUCCCGAGAAAUAUUACGAUGGCGUUAUGAAGGGCGCUCGUCUCGUGGCUGAUGAAUGUACCAAGGACAAGAUCUUUGAAUAAAUGUACCUUUGUCGUAGUUGUAAUUUAAAGACGAAGUUACUUGUGCUAUGUAGCACUUUUUGAUUUAAAAUAUUACCUUCUGUGCGGCUGUUUAUAGAAUUCUGAAAGUAGGCCAGUCGUCGGCUUCCGCCCCCACGUAACUAGUACCGGGGUGUUCCUGAAAAAACCCGGAUACUCAUUAUCCAAAUUUUUGGUCCCUUAAGGAGGUAUCCGACGCAGCGAACAAGGCAAUCGGACUAUGCGGCUUUAUAACUUUCACUUAGCCAUAGAAGUCUAUAAUUUUAAAUUUCGGCGAAGCCCCUAGAACUCGGAGGGCCGAAUUGGGUGCUAUAUACGCCUAAAUUGGAUGAGGCCCAUUCAUCGCCUAAAGCAGAAAAAAUCUUUAAGGAUUUUGAUACCUCUCGAACAGUGACCAGCUCUCGCCGCAUCAUGCCGGUCAGUUUUCGGCUUUCUCUACUGAGGUGCUCGUCCGGAAGAACCGGGACACAAUCGCAGUAGUUCUCCCUGUGCUACCUUAGCCGAUAUAAUGGAACAUAAGGUACCAAAACAAGGGAGCCGGGCAAACCCAGCUAUUGACCCAAGACGUGAUUCGGAGCUGAUGCAUAUAGUGUUAUAAGUUCGGGGUGCCGCACUGAUGAAAGUGUUCGGACUUGCUUUGUCGUAUUAUGGGGCGCCAUAUGAAGCCCCUGGCAAACUAAUCGUACCAAGGUGUACGGAUGCAGUAUUAAAUAAAUAUUUGCAAGAAAAAUGCGCAAAUAGGAAUAAUAAGCUGACGCUAUAUAUCAUUUCCCAUUGAUGAAUAAUACGUUAAGCGUAUGUUUACAAUGGUAGCAUUUAAGCAGAAGUAAAUAGGACCAUUUAACAUGUCCUAUCCAAGGGCAGGCUGCAUGUAGGUAUGUAAAACAGGUAUAACGAUCGUGAACAGAUUCCACCUGGGUAUUUCCUUUUGUGCGCAAAGCCUGUUGCCUCCUUGGUUUUCUCUCCUAUAUAAGUCCGACACUCCAGCUCUUCUGAAGAGGCUGCUCUAAAGCAAUGUCCUGAAAAAUAAAAAGGGAGGGUUAUGAAGGUAUGUAGCGGUUAUGCCGCGCCAUUGACUGAGUCAUUGAUGCGCCUCCGCCUAUGCCCAUGGUAUUUUGAGUGCGUAAUUGUGUACGCAUGGCGCGAAUGCUGCUUUGAUGGGGCUUGAGCGGAGGCUGGACUGCUAGUCGCGCUCUUGGCGUGCCUGAUGAUCCUGUUGCGGGGUGCUCCGGACUCGCUUGACGGUGCUCGAAGUUGUCGUCGCCGGAUUGGUGGUUUGUUGGAGGAGGCCGCAUUGUACUUCCGCCGCGAGGGAUGCAGUAUGCUCUUCUGUACGGAGAGAGCGGUCCAUAUUUCCGUUGACUGUUAUGACCCCAUGUGGUCCUGGCAUCUUGAGCUUUAGGUAUGCAUAGUGCGGUACCGCAUUGAAUCUAGCGAAUGCGGUUCGUCCAAGCAGUGCGUGGUAACCACUACGGAAAGGGACGAUAUCGAAGUUAACUCUUCGUUUCGGAAGUUAUCCGAAGAUCCGAAGACCACUUCCAAUGUUAUAGAGCCCAUGCAACGGGCCUCUACUCCAGGAAUUACACCUUUAAAGGUGGUUUUGGUGGGCUUGAUCCUUGAAGGGUCGAUGCCCAUUUUGCGCACUGUGUCCUGAUAGAGCAGGUUCAGGCUGCUGCCGCCGUCCAUAAGGACUCACGUGAGGUGGAAUCCGUCGAUAAUUGAGUCUAGGACCAAUACGGCUGAGCCGCCGUGAUGGAUGCUAGUAGGGUGAUCCCUACGAUCAAAGGUGAUCGGACAAGCUGACCAUGGGUUGAAUUUGGGGGCGACUGGCUCCAUCGCAUAGACGUCACGUAAUGCUCGCUUCUGUUCCCGCUUGGGAAUGUGAGUGGCGUAGAUCAUGUUGACUGUUUUCACCUGGGGGGGGGGGGAAUUUCUUCUGUCCCCCCGUGUUCGGAUGCCGGGGCUCUUCGUCAUCGUCGUUGUGCAGCCCCUUGUCCUUGUUUUCGGUGUUUAUUUUGCCGGUCUGUUUGAACACCUAGGAGUCUCUGUUUGUGUGGUUGGCUGGCUUGUCUGGGGUGCCAUGAAUUUGGCACGAGCGCUCCAGUACGCGGUCCAGACUGGACGGUCCCUGAUUAUUUCUUUUGAACGGCUUCUUCCGCUGACCGGCUUUGGAUCUGCUGAAUCCGGCGUUGACUGUCGUGUCUUCGGUGUUGUCGCUGUUGUUCUAUCGCUUGUGUCUGUUGCGCUGUGGCUUGCCGUUAUUGUCACGAACAUCUGCAGUGCCAGAAUGUGGUGUGGUGCUGCUGCGAGCCAACCAGCUGCCCUCGCCCGCGCAAAAGCGUGUCAUUAGUGUCGUGAGAGCUGCCAUGGACUUGGGUUUUUCCUAGCCGAGGUGUCGGGCGAGCCACUCGUCAUGGAUAUUAUGCUUAAAAGCUGCCAGGGCUUCGGCGUCCGGACAGUCGACUAUUUGGUUCUUUUUAGUUAGGAACCGAGUCCAGAAUUUCCUGGCUGACUCUCCGGGCUGUUGAGUAAUGUGGCUCAAGUCAUCGGCGUCCGGUGGUCGCACAUAUGUGCCCUAGAAGUUGUCGAGGAAUGUGUCUUACAGGUUUUCCCAACUGCCAAUGGAAUUUGCUGGCAGGUUGUUUAGCCAGUGUCGGGUGGGUCCUUCGAGCUUAAGGGGAAGAUACUUGAUGGCGUGUAGAUCAUCUCCGCGGGCCAUGUGAAUGUGGAGAAGGAAAUCUUAGAUCCAUACCGCGGGGUCUGUUGUGCCAUCGUAUGAUUUGAUGUUUACGGGCUUGAACCCUUUUGGGAAUUCAUGAUCCAUCACUUCGUCAGUGAAGCAUAGGGGGUGCACGGCGCCUCUGUGCCGGGCUAUCUGGCUACACAGUUCAAAUUGGUCUGGGUGGCUGUAUUCGGCCCGGCCGGACUUGUUGAUAAUGUAUCCGGUGUGACGGUCAUUGUCGCGUGCUGGGGCACCCCGUGAUCCGUAAAUCGAUCUUGGCUGUCCUGCUUUGUUUUCCAGUAUGUCUUGCAGGUCCUUCCUAUUGCCCUGGGCCGUAGUGUAUUGGCGUGGGGGUGCGGGCUGGUAUUCAGGCUGAUAUGCCGUUUUAUCCCGGCCACGGGGUGGCCGGUCAGCCGUGUGGCGCUCGAGUCCGUAUUCCUCGGCUGCCAGGACUUCAGUCCAUCUAUCUAUGAGCAGGUCUUGAUCAUCCUAGAGUUGUUGCUGCUGCUUUUUCAGGCUCCUCGCAGUGGCCGUAGACCGACGCUUGAAGCGUUCCUGCUCGACGGGGUCCUUGGGCAUGCCGAACUCAUCGUCGCCGAGGCUAAUCUUGUCUUCGGAGGGGGGCAUGUAGUUAUCCUCCUCCGGAUAUCUGUCAGUCGCCUGUUCAUCUGGGCUGACCUGCCCGUCUUCCUGCUCGGCCUGCUCGAAGGCAGGCUGAUCAGGGUUGUAUUCCUCUUCGGCACCAUCCGGAUUGUUUUGGUCUCCUGGGCCGGUAUUGCUGUGGCGGGGCUUGGAGCGGCGCCGACGACGCCCAUGCUUUGCUUUUUUCCCUAAGGGGUUAUCCUCCGUUGCCUCAUCACCAUUGGUUUCCUUCGGAGUGUCCACCAUAUAUAUAUCGUAAGAGGAGGUGGUUGUCCACCGCCCAGUGAGCGGUGGUUCCUGUUCUUCUCCUGCAUCGUCGUCCAUACCGUCGAUGUCUUUGGAAUCGAAGUCAAGCACAUUGGUUAGAUCAUCGACCGUGGCAAUGAAGUGGGUGGUGGGUGGGCAACGAAUUCCUUCGUCGCCUGCUUCCCACUCGAGCCGGACAUAGUUCGGCCACGAGACUCCUGACAAAGAGAGAGACUUUAACGAGUUCAACACGUCGCCAAAGGGUGAGUGUUGGAAGAUAUCCGCAGCUAUGAACUCCAUUACAGGAGCCCAACCAGAUUCGGCGGGCUCAGGAGAGCGCGGACUCGAACCUACAGCCGGAUACGAGUCCGGGGGUCCGGAGUCACAGGCUUCCUUAGAAGUGAGGCCUAUGUUCGGCUCUACCACCGAUAAGUGUGCGGCCUGCGGGGCGGGGUCCAUCCACCCGUCCUUGGGCCACGCGGUCUGCUCCGGAUUUAGGUCCGGAGCUGCUGCAGGGGUGAUAUCCCGAGCAUUGUCCGACAACAGGUCUAAGCCGUGCUCAUCGUGACUGUCAGGCGCUCCUGGCACAGGCCCGACUCCAUCGAAGAUCAAGUCUCCGCGGAUAUCGUCCGUGUAGUUCAUGUUUCCGAACCUGACCUGGUGGCCAGGGGCAUAGCUGUCGAUCUGCUCCAGAUGGCCAAGCGAAUUGGCCCGUAGUGCGAAGCCGCCGAACACGAAGAUCUGUCCGGGGAGGAAAGUCUCGCCCUGGACCGUGUCGUUGAUGAUUGAAGGCGCCAUCAAGCCUCGCAGCGACGACACAGAGGAACUCUCAAUGAAAGCACCAAUGUCGGUGUCAAAACCGGCAGAUCUCGGGUAGGGGGUCCCGAUCUGUGUGUCUUAGGCUGAUGGUAACAGGAAGCAAGGGACACAAUGUUUACCCAGGUUCGGGCCCUCUCGAUGGAGGUAAAACCCUACUUCCUGCUUGAUUAAUAUUGACGAUAUGAGUAGUACAAGAGUAGAUCUACCACGAGAUCGUAGAGGCUAAACCCUAGAAGCUAGCCUAUGAUGAUUAUGAUUGUAAUUGUGAUCGGCCUUCUAAGGACCAACCUCUCCGGUUUAUAUAGACACCGGAGAGGGCUAGGGUUUACAUGGAGUCGGUUACAAGGAAGGAAAUAUAAUAUCCGGAUCGCCAAGCUUGUCUUCCACGCAAAGGAGAAUCCCAUCCGGACACGGGACAGAGUCUUGAGUCUUGUAUCUUCACGCUCCAAUAGUCCAGACGAUGUGUAUAGUUUGACUGUCCGGAUACCCCCUAAUCCAGGACUCCCUCAAGGGGAUACUGCCCAAUUUAUGGGAUGAACUAACCUCCACUACAAAAAAGACACAUCCGUGACAUUUUGGGCCGAACGAAAAAAUUUUCUGUCAUAUAUAUGACACUUCGAUGACGAUAAUUGUGACAAAACCCGGUAUCAUCAUAGAUGUGGUGGACUCCUACUUCUAUGACAAGAAAUCAUGACAGAAAAUGGGCUUUUCGUCCUGGGUGGGCCGGAGACGCAGCUGCAUGACAUUCUUUGGGCCGUCCAUGACGGAAAAAACCGUGGUAGAAGCGAGGGGGAGGAAAAUUUCAGGGAGUUACCGGUUACGGUGGGAGGUCGGGGGCGGAGCGAUGCGCGUUUCUCUCGUACGUACACGCGUGUGUGCGAUGCAUUGGCUCUAACUGAAGCCGAGCGAGGCGUUGGGCUCUAACUGAACCCGAGCGAUUGCACUGCUGGCUAUGCGUUACUGAACCCGAGCGAUCGAUCGAUGGCUGUUAACUGAACCCGAUGGAGAGAUUCCUUCGCUACUGCUGCUAACUGAAGCCGAUCGAUGCUGCCUCUGGGAUGAACUGUGAGCGUUGCAGGGGGGGAGGUUUGGAUGAACAGUGAGCGGUGGCGUUGCCUCUGGACGAACAGGAACCCGUGGUGUGGAGGGCUGGAUGAACAAUAGACGAUGGAGGGGUGGCCGUGGAGGGGUGGUUGAACAGGACCCCGUGGUGUGGAGGGCUGGAUGAACAGUAGACAGUGGAGGGGUGGCCGUGGAGGGGUGGUUGAAUAGGACCCUGUGGUGUGGAGGGCCGGAUGAAUAGUAGACGGUGGAGGGGUGCCCGUGGAGGGGUGGUUGAACGGUAGCCGGUGGAGUAGCGCGCGGUGGAGGCUGGAUGAACAGGAGCCUGUGGAGGCUGGAGGAGGUCGACGGUAGCCUGUGGAGGCUGGAGGAGGUUGACGGUGGAGAUGAACAGUAUCCCGUGGAGUCCCGUUUUGCGGUACGCCACACCCCUCCCCCUCGUUUCGACCGUAGCGCUCCAACACAAGUCCGUUUCGUUCGUUUUGCGGUACGCCACACCCCUCCCGAUGAACAGGACCCCCGUUUCGACUGUAGGAGGUUCGUUUCGUCCAUUUUGCGGUACGCCACACCCCUCCCGAUCAACAGGACCCCCGUUUCGACCGUAGGAGGUCCGUUUCCUCUGUUUUGCGGUACGCCACACCCCUCUCGAUCAACAGGACCCCUGUUUCGACCGUAGCAGGUCCGUUUCCUCCGUUUUGUGGUACGCCAGGCCUCGUUUCUAUCGCCUGUUCUGUCCAAGCCAGUUGGCUCUCACGCGUUCCAUUGCCUCCCGAUGAACACGACGCAUUCUGUUGCCUCCCCAUGUACACGACGCAUUCCGUUGCCUCCCCAUGAACACGACGCAUUUCGUUGCCUCCCCAUAAACAUGAGCCCUCGCCGUACGUAUGCACGACUAGGCGUUCGAGACCCCGCCCGUAUGUACACAUACAUGGCCGUAUUUUCUUUCUUGCGCCCUGGCCGCUGUACGUACGUGUACAUGCUACAUGCGCGCCUCUACUACAACACGUGCGCGCCUCUACAACGACCAGUAUGUACGUACACGUUCGCGACCAGAAUGACAACGCUACGUAUGCUUCGACCAGGUGGGUCCCGACUGUCAGGCACUUCCUUGCGUGCGAAGAUGUAGCUGGUGGGUCCCAGCAGUCCUUGCAUGCGAAGAUGUAGCUGGUGGGUCCCAGCAGUCAGGGGGGCGAAUCGUUUUUUUUUUGCCCGGACGCACUUCCUUGCGUGCGAAGGUGUAGCUGGUGGGUCCCAGCAGUCAGGGGGAAACGUUUUUUUUGCGAAAUAUGGUGGCCCGUCCGGUGGGUCCCCGCUGUUAGGUGGAGGAAUAAUUAUUUUGCGCGUAAUAAGGAGGCACUUCCUUGUUGCGGUCGUGGACCCAGCUGUCAGCCUCUCCACGUACAGUCCACGUCUGACGGAAGCCGUUCCUUGACCAUGUUGACCACGCCGCGCCGAGAGCAUCAGGGCGGUGGACGAUGGCGAGGCCUAGGAAGGGGACACGGGGAGCCGGGGAAGACGCGGCAGUGGAAGCCCGCGCGGAGAGGAGUACGAGGGUUCACUGGUUCGGCUGCGGUGUGAGGCUGCCGUCGCCGCAGGGCCUGGCCAGCGGUGGGAAUAGUAGGGGGCGAUGAGGCCUCCGCGGCAGCACAUCCGGCCACGGGAAGCAGGAGCAUGCGCCACGACCGGCGCUGCUUUGGGCGGCUGGAGGAAGAAGACCAGAGGUUGAAGAAGCACUACGGCCGUUGGAUGCACAUCGUACGGUCACUGGAGCUAGAAUCAUUUAUAUUGACUAAGUUGACAAAGCCCUUCGUCCCCGUCAACUUAGUAGGCCCACAAGUCAGCCUCCCACCAAGGUGGGUCCCAGCUAGCAGGGGGUAUUCAUUUUUUUGUGCGUAAUAAGGAGGCACUUCCGGUGGGUCCGAGCUGACAGCAGGGGGAACAUUUUUUCGCAAAAUACGGUGGCCCGUUCGGUGGGUCCCAACAGUCAGGGGCAAACGUUUUUUCGCGAAAUACUGGUGGCCCAUCUGGUGGGUCCCUACUGUCAGGUGGAGGAAUAAUUAUUUUCCGCAUAAUAAGGAAGCACUUCCUUGCGGUUCCCGUGGACCCAGCUGUCAGCCUCUUCACGUACAGUAUUCUUCCGAUGGAAUUCGGUCGUUGACCACAUUGACCACGCCGCGCCGAGAGCACCACGGCGGUGGACGACGGCGAGGCCUAGGAAGGGGACGACACGGAGCCGAGGAAGAUGCGGCAGUGGAUGCCCACGCGGAGAGGAGUACGAGGGUUCACUGGUUCGGCUGCGCUGCCGUCGCCGCAGAAUAACAGGGGGUGUGGGUGAGUGGAGUGGAGGGAUGGCCUGGCCAGCGGUGGGAGUAGUAUGGAGGCGGUGAGGCCUCCGCGGCAGCACAGCCGGCCACGGGAGGCAGGAGCAGGCGGCACGACCGGCGCUGCUUUGGGCGGCUGGAGCAAGAAGACCAGAGGUUGAAGAAGCACUACAACCGUUGGAUGGACAUUGUACGGUCACUAGAGCUAGAAUCGUUCAAAUUGACUAAGUUGACAAAGCCCUCCGUCCCCGUCAACUUAGUAGGCCCACAAGUCAGCUUCCCACCAAGGUGAGUCCCAGCUAGCAGGGGGGGUAUUCAUUUUUUUGUGCAUAAUAAAGAGGCACUUCCGGUGGGUCCGAGCUGACAGCGGGGGAACGUUUUUUUCGCGAAAUACAGUGGCCCGUCCGGUGGGUACCAACAGUCAGGGGGGAAACAUUUUUUCGUGAAAUAAGGUGGCCCGUCGGUGGGUCCCUGCUGUCAGGUGGAGGAAUAAUUAUUUUGCGCGUAAUAAGGAGGCACUUCCUUGCGGCUGCCGUCGACCCAGCUGUCAGCCUCUCCACGUAUAGUACUCUUUCGAUGGAAGUCGGUCAUUGACCACGUUGACCACGCCGCGCCGAGAGCACCAGGGCGGUGGACGACGGCGACGCCUAGGAAGGGGACGACGUGGAGCCGGGGAAGACGCAGCAGUGGAAGCCCGCGCGGAGAGGAGUACGAGGGUUCACUGGUUCGGCUGUGGUGUGAGGCUGCCGUCGCCGCAGAAUAACAGGGGGUGUGGGUGAGUGGAGGGAUGGCCCGGCCAGCGGUGGGAGUAGUAUGGGGGCGGUGAGGCCUCCGCGGCAGCACAGCCGGCCACGGGAGGCAGGAGCAGGCGGCACGACCGGCGCUGCUUUGGGCGGCUGGACCAAGAAGACCAGAGGUUGAAGAAGCACUAUGGCCGUUGGAUGGACAUCGUAUGGUCACUGAAGCUAGAAUCGUUUAUAUUGACUAAGUUAACAAAGCCCUUGGUACGUUCCAACUUAGUAGGCCCAUAGGUCAGCCUCCGAAACGGUGCGCCCCAGAUGUCAGGGGGAGGAAUCAUUUUUUGGGCGGCCGAAGCUAAGAAUAUCCGAGAUUGAAGAAGAAGCACGACAUCCGUUGGAUAGACAUCCAACGGCCACUGCUGCUAGAACCGUGUGUUGACUAUAAUAAGUUGACAAAGCCUUGCAUACGCGUCAACUUAUUUUUUUAGCGGACGCGUCACUUAGUAGGCCCACAAGUGUGUGGCAGAGAACUUAUAGCCCAUUUGCAUUUUGUAAGAACUUACAGCCCAUUUUUGAAUUCUAAUGGAAUUUACAACAGCCCAUUUAUAAUUUGUUAAAAGUACAGCCCAUUUUCUAGCUAGGACAACGAUUAAUAAUUUCAACCAACCAUUGAAGACAGAAUUCAAUAAAAUUUCCCAUAUUUUGAUGGGAUCCGUAAUAUUUUUAUCCCGAAAUUUGUAUUUAGAUUAAAAACCCGCACGCAGCGACCUGGGGAGCUGGACCAGUACAAGAAGUUAUACCUCAGGUGGGCGAGAUGUCGUUUAGGCGGGCGAGUGGGAUCUGCCCACACGACGGCAGCGAACAAGGGCGCGGAGGAUCUUCGUCCGCGCCAGCGCCGGCUCCGAGAGGACGGUGCGCAUCGGCUCCUCCCAUCGCCACAACGUCAACGCUGCACCUCCUCACCUCCCGCAGCGGACGGGAUUCGGCCGGAUCUGUGACCACCGGUGAGGAGAGAGAUAGACUGGACACUGUCAUCUUGUUUUGAUAUGGAGAGGGUGAGAGAGUGAGACGCGAGAAACUCUAUCAAACAAGAGGCUAUAAUGGAGUAAAAAAAUCUCUCCAUAGCAGUGGUUUUAAAUAGAAUACGCGCGUUCCCGGAAAAAAGAAACAAAAAUUGGCGGACAAUUUUUUAAGGGUCUGUCUAGGACACAUCUAGAUGCGACUUAGUUAUGUCACAUCUAAGUUGAUGUCCACUCUAUUUGUGGUCUUUUUGGGGGGGGGUCCUAGUUUUUUUUGUUUCUUGUUGGUACAUUAUAUACUUGUGGGAGCUUAGAUGUGAUAUCCUUAAAUAACAUCUAGAUGUGAAUUGGACAAACUGAUUUUCUAACGUACCAAGAAAGAAAACUCGAUCAAAAACACGCCCCCGCUUCCAGAUCGCGAGAGUUGUCGCGCACACACACAUAGACAUAGACAUGCAUAUCCGUGUUUACAUAAAAUUUCAUUUCCAUCUCCAUCUCCAAUCAUAUUUGUCCAUCUGGCACAUUAUUUACGUUGUUAAUUAUAUAUGCAGCAAUAUUAACGUACAUCAUCUCUUGUUUGCGCACGUCCGGACCGCUGCCACGGCCGGUCCUGACCAACCCGAACACUCUUCAUCACCCGCGCGUGCUUUCCGCCCGAAACGGUCAGUGCCGCAUUAAUGCCCGGCCAGAGCGGACGCGACCUCUCACUGGCGCCGGCAUUGAAGCGGCGCGCCGGCCGAGAGAGUGUCGCCCGCGCCGCUUCCGGGAGCACGCGGCUGCUCCACGUUCAAAGAUCGCAAUAGCCGGCUACAACAUGCAUGUAAAAAGUUUUUGGGAGUCCGUGCUACAGCUAGCUGUCCUCCCCCAACUCGUCAAUCUCUUCUAGUAGUGCUAGUAGUACUCCAUGGCGCGAUCCAUCGACAAGCAGGCGGGCAAAGUUAUCGUAUACUCGGUUUGCGGUGAGUGGCAUGCCGAGCGACUGUGUGGGGUCGAGCCGUGGAGGAGGGUGAGACACGAACACGACAGACGUGAUUUAAACGUUGGUUUUGCUCGAUGGCGCGAUCCAACAAAACGAAACCUUGGUUUUUCUCCGUUUCCAUUUUUUCUCCGGAAAAACGGAAACUUUCCACUCCAUUUUCAUUCCUAUUCCAAGGUUGCCCUAUUACAACAUUCCAUCAAAUACAAAGGAAAACUAACACGCAUGCUCAUGCAUCUCAAUGAUUCACAGAUCAUAGCCAAUAUUUACUUCAUAACUAAAAAAAAGUUGUGAGAGCGUGUACGAAAGAAAAACUGCUGAUGGGGUCACUACAACUUAAACCCUAAAUCCUAAACAUGAUUUAAUUCCCUGGCCAGGUAGAACCUGUCGAAGGAAAGACGGCUGGCACCCUCGGAUCAUACGAUGCUAUUGUGCAGUUCUACUAAAAUCGACCUGAGCAUCCCUGAUGGCAAAGAUAUUGAAGAAGUGUGAUUAGAAUAAUAGUACUGGCACUAGUUCAUGAGACAUAAACUCAUCACAAGUAGAAGCCGGUAGAAGUAGAGCAAGAUCGACAUGGAGAUGGAGCUAUGGCAGUGGAGCAAGCCGGCUCCAAAAGGAAGAUGGACUACCUGGGACAUCGGGCUAUAGCUAGAAGGGCAGUUGGGACACGGCAUCAGCCCAAACCGUGGUGACCCCCGAUUGGGACGCACUGACUGUGGGUUUUCUCCCUCGCCAAUGUCGACCGCGUCUACGCAGAACAUUGUUCCCUUCCCCCAGCUGCGGGAUCAGGCCCGUCGUUCUAUGCUUGUGAAGAGAGCAACCUUAGCAAGCAGGCUUGUAGCUUAGGCUCCUGCUAGUGUAUAUAUAGUGGUUUUCUUUUUCUCUCCAUAUCAACCAUUUUAUAUUGCGUACGUGUCAUUCAAGAGUGAAAUGAUGGUUGCUUCUUCCGACUAACUUACUGUGUGAUUUGACUGCUCCUUAGUGGCCCCUACACAUACUCCCCCUACAUGUAUGCAACAGUCACACGUACACAUGGACGCAAAAACGCGUGCGACGCCCUAAUGCAUGCAUGUCCGAGCACACGACGGAACACACACGGUCACGCUAAGUGCUCAACCUAUACGUGCAUGCACACACAUACUCAGUCAGGGUGAGCUAGUGACCAUAUAAACACCGGAAAAUAUAUAUAUUGAGUGCAAUGAGUGUAUUAUGAAGUCCACUGACCGUAUUUUUACAAAUAUACAGUGACAGAUAGUGUAUUUAUCUCGUUUGAAAUUAAUCCAUAUUAACCGGAGAGGAGGCAGUAUGGACUAGCAUUACUUGCGCGCGGUGGCUCGCAGGACAAGGAGAAACUUUUGACUAAUGCAAGCUCUCCCUCGCUCAGGCGGUGGAUGCGCAACAGUUAAUUCGGUGUCAUAUUGCCAGACGCACACACUAUACUACUAGUGCUACUAUUGUUCGACUUCCCGAAUAGGCGAACAGCCAAGCGCAAAGUUUACUAAUAUAGUCUAUAAAGGUACGUACUAUACUAGUACUAGGAACCAGAUGGAGGAGCGUCUGCACUCUUAUUACAAUUUUAAAAUGUGAUAAAGCAAUCUUCAACACAUUUGGUUAUCUUCGAGGGUUCUCGCAUGUGAUAAUGGAAGUUGAUUGCAUGGAACACUCGCCAUAAUUCUCGCUUAAUUCUGGCUCAUAUCCUGUUACAAAUAGUAGCGCUCGGUAAUAUUUCCUCUUUUUUUGUUAUUCGGCAUGUAAACAGGUCAGCAAACCUUGCGGCGCAUCUUCGUGCGAACCGUGCUUGCUGCACUUUGAAUGUGGCCGAGAGCUGGCUUGAUGAAACACCUCGCUUCCUACUUCUUUUUUUGCGGGGUACCUCGCUUCCUAGUGACCAGUGUCUUGGCUGAUCGUCCUAAGAAUGCUUAUAUAUGAAUAAAGCUCUCUCAUUUACCCGCAAAAAAGAUUGAGCCAUAUUAACCGAAAAGGAGGGAGUAUGGACUAGCACUACUUUUUGGUGUGUCCCGUCAACUCGCAGAACGAGGAGAAGCUUGCAAGACAAGGUGAAGCUCGCUUACGCCUUUUGACUAAUGCAACCUACCCUCGGUGGACAUGCAUCAGUCCAUUCGGUGUCAGAUUGUCAGAGGCAUACACUGUAGUACCCAACAUGCGGAGUACCAUCAUUGUUCGACUUCACGAAGAGGCGAAGAGCCAAGCGCAGUAGUACGCGUAGUACUAUUACUAGAACCGCAUGGUGGAGCGUUUGUACUUUUAUUUCUUUUUAUCUCUGAUAAAGUACACAUUUAUUCCGGAGAAGGGUGGAAAACGGCAGCCCAACAUGUAAUGAAUGAUAUCGAUCAACCAACCAUGCUCGAAUAUAUCUUGGCCUCCAUGCGAACCCGUCUGUGUGUUCUCGCUCCUCGUCUCUCUCAAGGAACGGCGGGUUGGCUCUUUGCCGUCAAUUGAGAUCGGUUUGCUCACAAUCCUGUCCCACAUGUCAGUGAUAUGCCAAGAGGAGGUGCGUUGACCGACUGGCCAUACGCGUACUUGGUUUUGAACCUUCAUACUACUCCUCCCUCCGUCAUAGUUUACAGGGCGCGCUUCAUUAUGAUGCAUUUCUCUCAAUGCAUUUCCACCACCAGAGAGACUUUAGACGCGUUUAGUUUUAUGCUCAAUUAAUUAGGGCGUGGUAACCGCAAUCAAGUCCACAAUUUUCUCUCCAUGUAACUACGGAAUGAAGUAAGUGCAUGAAUGUGUGUACCCGGGGUGGAAGCACUGCAUGCAUGUGUGUACGCAUUAUUCCCUCUACUAGUAAUAGACGCCGUGCUAUAACUACCAAUGUUAUUUUUCAGGCCGAUCGCUAGUCGCCUUGGUCCCACAGAUCUUUUUUCUUUUUUCUGAAGCGCGAUGUAUAAACAGUGGCGGAUGGAGUAGUAUGAGCGGAUUCAAAGAAGAGCGUAUUGAUGGUUGCUUCUUCAGAGCAACUUACAGUGGGAAAGGUGGGGCUUACGAUUUGACUGCUCAUUACUCACUAUUAAUGCGGCGCAAUGACCGGGCUGAGUCUCCCAUGCGGUUGUGCACUACCCCCUCGGUUCUUAAAUAUACUCCGGAGUAUAUUUGUCUUUCUAGAGAUUUCAACGAGUGACUACUCAAAUAUUUGUCUUUUUAGAGAUUUCAAAUGGACUGGCACAUACGGAUGUAUAUACAUAUUUUAGAGUGUAGAUUCUCUCAUUUUGCUCCGUAUGUAAUCACUUGUUGAAAUCUCUAGAAAGACGAAUAGAAUAUUUAGGAACGGAGGGAGUACACAUAUGAAGCAAAAUGAGUGAAUCUAAACUCUAAAAUAUGCCCGCUUGAAAUUUGUAAAAAGACAAAUAUUUAGGAACGAAGGAGUAUAAUUUUGUGCAUGGCACAUGGACCUGGAUGAUGAAGAGGCUUCUGGCAAUGCUAUCAAGCUUUCAUCAUUUUUUUACAUAAUUGACGUACUAUACAAAUAAUUUUCCAGCGAGACAUGAAAUUGUACAAUGGUGUGAGCUUUCAGCUUCUGUUUCGCGUGUCUUGCCAUCGAUGCUCUUUCGGAAACAAUAAAAAACUAACUUCCUUGCUAAUGCAUGUCAAUUAUUAGCAUAUCAGAGCUAAUAAUUACAUCACAACUGAAGACAGAGUUGUGAGAAGGUGUUAAAUUAAAAUUGAUCCAUGCUUUCAUUGGCAGCAACGUCCCCCCAGCUCUGUCUAAAUCAACAAGGCAUGUUGGGAAAAAAGUAGCUGUCUGGAGCAUGCAACAUUCCGAUCAUUUUGUGCAGUUCCACUAAAAUAGAGCUGAGCGUCCCUGUUCCAAAGAUAUUAAGUGUGAUUACGAUAAUAGAGGACUGUUGAUGAAACAAUAAACACAUAAAUAGAAGCUGGUCACCUUUGCAGUCUCUUUUAAGACUAACUAGUUGGAGAAGAUUAGGCUCAGAGUUGGAUGAGGAGGAUAGAGCAAAACUAAUCUCCCUUUGUGCAGUCGCACUGAAAUGUAGAGACGUUGCCCAUGUGACAUUUUAGUACAACUGCACAAAACACUCUUAAGAAAAAAGUGAUUUGUGCAGUUCACCAAAAGGUCGCAAUAGCAACGAGGUGAAAUGGAUAGCCCUGUUUGCAAAAAAGAGGUAGAAAGGAAACAAUUACUGGCCAAUAACAGUUGGUGACACAAGCGACGACAAAAAAGAAGCAUAUUCCGUGCCCUAAGGGAAGAUAACAACACGGUUGUGUUUGUCUAAAAUGGUGUGAGGAUGAGAAUGCAAUAUGGAAAGUACGCUGGACGAGCUACGUUUUGGGCAAAGAACUAUGGAAGAUCCACAUGCAGCGAGUGGGAAGACGGGUAGUGGAGCAAGGCCGGAGGGGAUACCUGGAGGUCGUCGGGAUGUAACUAGGUGAGCAGCGGUGGGCGGAAUCUGCGAGCAGGUGGCAUAGGCCCUGCCGCGCCGGAGCUUGGUCAGAGAGAACGGCAUGUACCGCAGAUCGGGACGUGCUGCCUCGGCGCCGUCGAACGGAGAAAUGAUGCACUUCCUCCCUUUCCCCCGGCGGACGGGAUUCGGCCGGAUCAGUGACCAACGGUGAGAGAGAGAGGCCACCGCACUCCCUUUCCCCCGGCGGACAGGAUGCGGCCGGAUCAGUGACCAACGGUGAGAGAGAGAGGCCACCGCACUCCCUUUCCCCCGGCGGACGGGAUGCGGCCGGAUCAGUGACCAACGGUGAGAGAGAGAGGCCACCGCAGCCUUGUGUGAGAUACUCUGGAGAGCGACAAACCAGGCACGCAAGGAUCCAUUGUAUAUAGUGAGCGGACUACCUUUUUCUCCAUAAAAAUCGUUUUAUAUUCUGUGUACGUGCCAUUGAGCGCUAUAACUUUAUUUAAAAAUAACGCGACAACGCGUCAAGUCGAACUUUGUUUCGUGCAGGCGUGGUACACGACCUCCCUAGGUAAACAACCGCUACAGGCGUUCAAAUUAGCACGUGGGCUGCCAUUUCAUAAAGAAAUGAGCUCCACCGUGUACCCGCGCGGGUGUGGCUGGGCACGAAGCGUGAGUACGUGCACGGUGCACCUAUUCUCUUCUUGUAUACGUACACCACCUACGUGGGGUUGUGUGAGAGAGAUACAAACCUAGAGAGAUAUAGUGUGUGGGUUCUUGAGAGNNNNNNNNNNNNNNNNNNNNNNNNNNNNNNNNNNNNNNNNNNNNNNNNNNNNNNNNNNNNNNNNNNNNNNNNNNNNNNNNNNNNNNNNNNNNNNNNNNNNNNNNNNNNNNNNNNNNNNNNNNNNNNNNNNNNNNNNNNNNNNNNNNNNNNNNNNNNNNNNNNNNNNNNNNNNNNNNNNNNNNNNNNNNNNNNNNNNNNNNNNNNNNNNNNNNNNNNNNNNNNNNNNNNNNNNNNNNNNNNNNNNNNNNNNNNNNNNNNNNNNNNNNNAUAUGCAAUGUGUGUGAAAUAGAGUCCUGGAUAUAACAUAUAUAUAGAGGGGGCGAUCCACGAGAAGAGAGCGGAGGUAUCACCAGCUUCAGGUGUCCAUAGAAUCGAAAAGAGGGAUGAUGUGUGUGUGUGCGCGCGCAAUCGAUAAAGAGUGCCAUCGAAUUUGUGUGUGCCCACAUCAAAGAUAUAGAGUGGCUGGCCUACUGGAACGUGAGAGGGGACAUGUGCAGUUUGUCUUUGUGGCAUGGAUACCUACCUGCAGCGCUCGACUAUCGGUGUGUGGUGGGGGAAGAGGGAGGCCCAAUUAACUAUAGAGGUACAAUGGCUGGUAUAUGUGUGGGGGAGAGAGGCCUACCUCAUGUAUUAAGGAGAUUGAUCUGCCUCAUGUAUUAAGGAAGAUCGAUCGGCAUCCAUGCAUAUGUGCAUGAGAGAAAUAAGGUUGGGAGAGAGACAGAGAUAGAGUGUUGGAGGGGGUGGUAGUGGAGUUGCUUCUAACAAAUGGUGGGAUAGGCUUGCUAGACAAACGGAGGGCACGCCCGCAAUAUCAAUAAGAGAGGAGAUGGCUGCUUGUUGUCUGUGCAUGUGCGUGUGAGAGACGGGUCAGGAGGCAUGCACGAAUGAUGAGGGGGGACGAUGUGGCUGUGGUAAGCAUACAUAACUACAUAGGAAGAUCAAUCGCCCUUUGUUAGAGAAAGGAGAGACAUAACUUGUGAGGUACGUCGAUCGAUGGGGGGGUGGUUAAAGUCAAUCCAGGUAUAUGUUGGGAGAUCGAUCGGUAUACAUGCAUGUGUGUGUUAGAAGCAAACAAGGCACGAGGAGAAGGAUAGAGAUAGAGGGAUGCAUGUAGGAGGUGGUACGAGAGGCAUACUAUAUCGAGCGGGGAGUGUUGUGCGAGUACGAGAACGAUGAAAAGAGUGGUGGGAGUGAGGCAUGGACGGUGACAAGAGAAGAGGGGAAGCUUGUGUUUGUGCUAGGCACACCUGGCUAGAGAGGCAUAUCGAUCGAUGUGUGCCGUAAAGAAGGAGCUGGGGGGCCUACACAUGCCGUGGGUGAACGACCUAAAGUGAAAAGACGAAUUUGCACGAUGGAGCUAGAGAAUGCCGAGGGAGGGUGAGAGGGAUGCGGGCGUGUGCAUGCACAAGAGAAAGUUAGCGCUAGCUACAAAGAUAAGAGGGUUGUGUGUGUGUAAAAGACUAAUAGAGAUCAUAUAUACUUCAUUAUAAAAACCGAAUUCGGAUAUUUGAAGAAUUUAUCAUAGUGUUUUAAACCGACGAAUGUGUGAAUAUAUAUAACGGUGAUACACAUGGUGUGUUUAUGAACAUGUUAUACUAUAUUUAAUAUAUUUUAUCUCUACUCUUAUAAAAAACAGAGUUGUUGAUGAUGGUGUGCCUGCCAUCCUGCAUUAUAGGCCGUCCAAUUUAUAUCUGGCGGAUAGCAAGGAAACUAUGAUGGUUGAAGUUGGCAACAAUCAUGAUUGUAGAUUCUUAUUGAAAUAGAGAAACGGAUUCAAAUUUAGUUCGAAUUGCAGCGGUAGUAUAGACAUUUGGAAUGCACUAAAAUGUUGGUAUGAGUAGGUUACAUGCAUUAUACAGCAAAGCGAAAAAAAUUAAUCGGACAUAACGUGGAUUCAUACUCCCUCCUUCCAUCUAUAUAGGGCGUAAUGAGAUUUUUAAGACCGCCUUUGACUAUUGACAAGAUUAAUAGUACAUGACAUGCACAAUGUGAAAAUUAUAUCAUUGAAAGAACCUUUCACAGACGAAGUUAACGGUGUGCUUUGUGUAAGUUGCAUGUCAUAUAUCAUUGCUCUAAUAUUUGGUCAAAGUUAGUAUCGAAAAACGCAUUAAGCCCUAUAUAGAUGGAAGGAGGGAGUAGCUUUGAAUAGCAUUUGUAUAGUAAAACGGGGCAAGACUGUCUCUUUGUGUGGUGUGAAUAGUUUUAUUUUUUUCGUUUUCUUUUUGGUUGAGGGAAGUGCGAAUUGAUUUGGUACGUACAAGUACAAUAUUACUACAUGUUAGGUUUGUUAUAUCCCGAAAUUUCAGAUAUCGUGCUCCCAAAACUGGCGCCUUCACAACCCGCGCCUUGCUAUCCCGAAAUUACAAUGCGUGCGAAAACUCCCUCCAGCUGCCAAAUCCCGACAUGCGAAAUCCCCCUUCUAACCCUGAGCCGAAAGGGCCACUAGUUCAAAUCGGUGGGGGGUACUUUUGUAACACACCCUACAUUUUGGACAAGCGCGUCCAUAAGUCAUGCUUCACCCCCUCCCAUCGCCCCCUUUUCGCCAUUCGAAAUCCCAGGCCGCCAUAACCUCUCCGCUCCAGCCGCGAAACCCCACCCUCCUCCGUCCGCCACGUCACCGCUGCCCAGCCAGAGCCUCUUCCCCGACGACGUCGUCCACCGCAACAGCUCGACGUCCCUCGUCCACCUCCCCGGAUGAGGAUCCGUCGUCCAUCUCGUCGUCCCGCCGGUUCAGCCACCCUGUCCUCCACCUCCAAGGAGCUGCUCCAACGAUCGCCUCGUCUAUCGCGGCUGCUCCAUCCCCACAACGCCGCCUUAACCUGCUCCACCGGAACCUCAACAUCCUCACCGACUCCUCGGACGAAGCCGAGGCCUACUCGGCGCCACCAAAGAGGUUGUACACUCAUCGCAUCGCACCUUCUCCUUAACUCGACCUCCUGGCGCCGACGGUGCUCCAUCCCGCACCCCCAUGGAGCGGCUACCUUGAAGCCGGCGCCGCGGGCGACAUCUCCACGGCGGCUCUUCCCCAGUGCUAGGCCCCUUCGGCGGCGGCGUCCAUACCAGCCGGAUCUGCUGCUGCUGCUCCGGCUCUCGCUCGAUCGCUCGCUCGCCUAGCUGCUGCUGCUGCUCUCUCCCUCGCACGUGCUGCUGCUCUGCUCCGAUUAAGCCACACUUCAGUCGACUGAAUCGACUUUUGGGUCAGUCGAUUUUCAGGGGUUGGGGGGAGGGCUCGUCGGAGUUAAGGAAGAACCACCCGCAGCGGGGACGGGGGCUCGCCGGAGAGGUACCCCACUAUCUAUCUUAGGGUUCAGGGUGGGGGUGGGCGGGAGGCCUAGAGGGCUGGCCGGGGCGGCGGUGGCGAGUUGUUUCGGGGCGGCGAGGCGGCGCUGGGGCCGGCAGUUCGGCCAGUGGUGGCAGGCGGCUCAGGGGUGUGCAGGUUGAAGAUGAACUGCAGGCCCUCCCUAAACUACAUGUCAAGUGUCUCUCUGCUACCAUUGCGUUCAGUUUCGACAGUAGCAUUCAGAUUCCACAGUUAAUUUCAGUUUCGACAGUUAAGUUUAGAGUCAAUAGUUUUUACCUCAUCUGUUGUAGUCAGGUGGUUUUUGGUGAUGUUAAUUUUACAUCCAUUUUUCAUCAUCUAUUGGAGAUGCUAUUAGAAUCCCACUUGAGAUUGACGAUGUCUGUCUUGUGCUGCUUCAGCCUUGAUGUCUUACGGCUCACCGAAGCUGCUCCAACGACAGAACGGUCCAUCACAAUAGAGAAGUGCCCUGGACGUCGUCUACAGAUUCCUCAGAUCUUCCUCCACACCUCCAACAGCCACCUCUGCCUCAACUGCUUCAGCGACCAACCCAAUGAUGCUGAGGUCGACACGGCUACGGCAAAGAGGUUGUACAUUGUUGCGUCACUUAUUACUAUACAUUCACGUCGAUCCAUUAGGGCUAUUUUUUUUCAACGGAAAAACAUCGAUCCACUGGUUGUUACCAUCACUCUAAAUUUCUGCAUGCUCUCCUUACAUAAUCUCACCAUAUUUUUUCCGUAUGCAUGUCAGAUAUUGUACACAGUCAUGCUGAACAUGUAGAGAAAAAGAGAAGAGUUUUGCGCGGCAAUACAAUGUCAUGCAGACAUCGCUCCAUGGUGGGUUCAAUGGCAAACCCUCCCCACCCCUCUCCAGAUUGUAAUCCAGAGGAAGAUAUCUGUUCUGAGGCGUAUUCAGACGCUGCUGACCACUCCUAUUUACCCCCCAAGGUGUUUGCUCUACCUUGGCAUGAUGAUGUUAGUCAUAUCAUGCAUAUGUUGCCUUGCAGUGCCUACUUUUGACAUCAUAUAUGUCAUCUGCUUAGUUUAGACAUGUUCUGUAAUGCCACCUGUUUAGUUUCUAUAUCAUAUAUGGGAAUUAUGCAGUCUCAUGUCUUUUAGCCAGCCAUAAUAUAUGUGAAAUGUGCAAUGCCAUCCUGUUUAACCAGGCAUCAUAUAUUUGAAUGAUAUCUUGCCCAUCCUUUUCUUCAUUACAUUUUCAUUUGUCGACAAUGUUUGUACAUUAAACUACUCUUCAUGUAAAUCAGCCAUUUGGGUGGGAGAUGGAAAAAUCUGGAGUGAAAACAAGGCCUUCAGAGCACGCAGUGCUACCUGUCGAAGCAGAUCUCUUGUUGGGUCCCGAUAGCUCCUCAGAGAUGGAUUCAGAAACAGAUGACCAGUCCUAUUCCCCCACUGAGGUGUAUGCUCUAACUUGGCACGGUUAUACUGCUCAUAUCAUGCAUACAGUGUCUUGCAUUGCAUAGUUUAGACAUCAUAUACACAAUAUUCAACACCAUGUUCUUAGUUCAGACAUCAUAUCGAAUGCCCUUUGUUUAGCAUAUAAAUCACAUAUGUGAAUUAAAUGAUGCGAUCCUGAUUACUUAGAUAACAUGUAGGUGAAUUAUGUCAUGCGAUCCUGUUUAGUUAUUCAUCAUAUCUUUGAAUUAUGUUAUGCUAUGCUAUCCAGUUUAGAUAGACAUCAUAUAUGUAAAAUUAUGUCAUGCUAUCCGUUUUAGUUAAACAAUAUACAUGUCAACUAUUUCAUGCCCUCUUUUUCCCACACUAUCUAUUGCAUCUGUCUCUCAUACAAUGUCUGUACAUUCAACUAUGUUUCCUGUUUAUCAGCCAUUUGAAUUGGAGCAGGUGAUGCCAGUAUCUAGCGGAAUAAAAACACGGUCUUCAAAUAAAACAGUGCUACCUCUUGGUGGAGAUAGCACCCCGGUUGUACAUGCACAAGAACCAGCCCUACCACACAUAACCCAAACUCUCGCAGAUUGUACCCCUACUGCGAUGGACAGAGAACCAGCUUCACCCAAUCUAACCCCAACCCUAGCCGAUAGUAACCCAGUUCCUAUUGACACAGCACCAUCUCCACCACAGAGCUCCCAAACAACAGCAGUUAGUAAGGCAGCUCCAGUGCCCAAAGGGCCAGUACUAUCACGGCAAACCCCAACUCCACCAGUUAGUACGCCUAUUCCUGUGGAGGAAGCACAACCAGCCAGUCGUAGUUUAGCAUCUAUCGCAUUUGAUGUUGUUAAAUCGUAUGUGCGUAUCUUCCCAUCUUGGAAAUAUUAUACUGAAGAUGAAGGAAAAUGCCAGUUGCAGGUGUUUGUCCAGUAGUUAUGUGUAAGUAAUGUUAUUCAUGGCAAUUACUUUGCUUCGUCCCAUACAUCCUACCUCCAUGAUGGUUAUAAUACAGCAAAUUUUCCCAUUUUUCUCUAUAGAGAAGGACCGAUUUAGAAACUCAGGAUGAGGUAACCUGUGCUAAUACCUAUGCUAUCUUCAAGAAUGCUUGGUGGCAGUAUCGGAAUUACCUGAAGAAAACGUACUUCACCGGCAAAGAAACUCAUCAAAUUCCCUUACGUUCUCCUAAGACACAUUUACUGGACGAUGACUGGGAACGCCUUGUUCUGUACUGGUCCCGAACCAAGAAUGUGGUAAGGUCUAUGAGCUCAUUUUUUAUUUUUAAGUAUUUUAUUCUUGCGUCUUACUGUACUCUGUUCAUGUAGAACAAGUGCCUAAACCUGAAGAACAACUAUUCUAAUUUAAGAUUCCAUUGCUAUCAUAGUUCAAAAAAGCGCUAGCUGUUAAUUGUGCGUUUUGCCACCGCCUUGCGCUUUACUGACCAAAGCGCAUGCUUAUGCGCAAUUAUGCAUAGAUUAUGCGUAGUUAUGCGCAAUGCGUUUUUCCAACGCCUAGAGCCUAGGCGCGCUUAAGCGCUCGCUUAGGCGCGCCUUUUUUAACUAUGAUUGCUUUGCUCUUGUAUCACUGUAUUUACUGAUAUGAACUUAUUUUUAAAUUGAAGGAUCCAAUCGAAACUCCAAUGGCACAGCAGGUAUGUUCACGCAUGUUUCUUUAAUAGGUUUGCUCUUAUCAAUAGCUCUGUUGAUUUCAAUUCCAAUUGUGUAUACAGUUGACUUUCAUAUCAUGCACAUUACUAGCAUCACAACAGAGCCAAUAGUGUUGUUGUACAUGUAGACCCGUGGUACCCAUCUGAAAUCUUGUUGUGCCGUGCAGUUUCCCACACUUUGUAUUCUUUCACUGCUGCUUUGUCUUGAACUGAUAUGAUUUGAACCGUAUCUCUAUUUUGAUUUGGCAAGAUAAUGUAGUGACCAUAGGACAUAGAUAUAUGUUUGUUUGAUGCUUUUAUUAUGUACUAGUACUUGGCAAUAGAAGACUUGGUAGUUUAAUCCUGUCCACCUUACUAAUGAACCGGUUCACCGAAAUGAGUUUCAUAUACUAGUACAUGCUAAACAUAUUAUGUGUCUGCUUGUUUCUUCUUUUAGAAUGCUGACAGAAUAUUGGGGAAGAGUGCCUUAUUAAGCAAUGGUAUAGAAAGUAAUGCAGAUAAGGUUCAGGAUAGUGACACAUCCUUGUUGGUCUCCAACAAAGCUGAUAAAAUAGCUAAGGAACACUAUCUUGAAGACAGCGAGACAACCCCAAAGUGCUGUCUUGGUUUAGUGUUCGAGUUACUGGCCACUACUGCAUGCACAAGCUAUUCAAACUCACGGUCUGAAUCAGUUCGGUUUCUUGAGUCUCAACUACAAGCUGAAAGACAUCGAUCAGCUGUGCUGCGACAAGAAGCGGAAGGACUGCGGAAGUCCCUGGAGCAUUCAGAUGCAUACUUUCUGGUGCAACAGCAAGCGUUGGAGGAUUUUAGCGCCAAACAGGACAAAGCUAAUCAGCUUGCUAAGCUUAUUGCCAGCAUGGUGGAUACCCAGGAUAACGUUUCUUGAGCUCUUUUGAAGUUGUUUCAGUUAUGCUCUUAUUUUGCUGCCGCUUUUAUUUGCACCGGUGGCCAAUUUUGACGGCCAAGUGUAUGUAAUAUGCUGCUUUGUUCCCUAUAUUUGCACUGGUGGUGAACUUUGAUGCCCAGUGGAUGUAAUAUGUGUAAUAGCGGUAAUAGGCUAGCUUUAAUUGCUUGCUUAUUUAUUUCCUUAUUGUCUUGUUUAGUUGUUUGCUUGUAGUCACUGCAGUUCUUUUUCUGUGUUUUUCUAGUGGCCACAAUAGCCUAUUUUUGGUAACUAGGCCAAAAUAAUCAUGGCAACACACGGACUGUUGUAACCAUGGGCCUCCUGCAGGCCGUAUGAUCCAUGGGCCUUCGUUCGGCCGUAGGACCAUUGGCCUUCUAUACGGGCCGUAGGAUCCAUCUGCCUUCUAUACGGGCCUUAGGGAUCAAUGGGCCUUCUACGGGCCGUAGGGUCCAUGGGCCUUCUACGGGCCGUACUAUCCAUGGGCCUCAUACGGGCCGUAGGAUCCAUGGGCCUUCUACGGGGCGUAUCAUCAUUUCGCCAAUCAUGGGCCGUACUAUUCAUGGACCAUAACGGGCCGUUAAUAGGCCGUAUUUGAUAACUCUAUGAAAAUAGCCCAACGGGUUUUUUUGACAUGAAAACGGCCCAACGUAUUAACGGUCCGCAAACGGGCCGACUGUAACAACGGGCUGAAUUUGGCCCACAAGCAGAAAAUGACAGUAACAGGUCGUAUGUAACUGAAUGCUGCAAAUGAGCCCAAGAAUCAAUGGGCCCUGAGAAGUCCAAAAGAUAACUUGGGCUGGAAACGGCCCAAUGGAAUAACGAGCCGUUAAUGGGUAUAAAGUGAUACACUGUUCAUUACAGGCCAGUUUCACCACGGGCCGUUAAUGGGCCAAGAGUUACAAAGGUCCUCAUAUGGGCCGAAAGAAGUCAUGGGCCACACAUGGGCCGAAAAUUAAAACGGGUUGAAUCAUAUUGGACGGCCCAGAUGACGCUACUAGGCCUAAUUCGGAUAGGGCGUAACGGGCCCUGGGUUAGCAGGCUGUGAAUGGGCUAUAUGCGAACAGGCCGUUAACAGGCUUUCCGUGGGCCGGCCCGCCACCUUUUGACCAAGUCAAACGGGCCGGCCUUUUCACAGGAAUGGGCCUCUGUUGGGCCGUGCCAUGUGUCGCCGUAUCAUAGGCGCCUUCGGUCCAAUGAGCAGAUGACAUCUGUCCCAACGGUGAGCCGACACGUGUUUGCUCCAGCCAAUGAAGAUUUUACACAUGGAAAAUCCCCAUUGGUCGGGGCUGUUAACGGGUUAUCGGAUCCAAAACCCGACCCGGUAGCUUAACGGCGUUCCGUUACGGUGGAUGCCACGUGUCGGUCACCCUUGACGAAAGCAGUUCUGUGACGCGUGAUUUAUCGUCAUGGAAGUGGACACUUCCGUGAUGAUAAUUUUGGUAAUGUCAUGGAACACUUCUACGACAUCACAUGUAUGACUAUCUUGAUUCUGUCAUAAAUUUGUCAUGGAUGUACAUGCAUGACAAAAAACGCGACCUACUGUGACAAACACGUAUCAUCAUGGAAGUGUAUUUUUUUGUAGUGCUCUGAACCAACAAAUCAUAGUUGUUUCCGUCUAGAUCUGGCUAGGGUUUGCCGAGGGUUGCUAUUGCAAUUUCAUAGGAGGGGAUCAGGGGGAGGAGAGGAAGGCGACCAACUGCUUGAGCUCUGAGGGAGAGGUUUUUUUGCUGUUUUCUCGGUACAACGACUGUNNNNNNNNNNNNNNNNNNNNNNNNNNNNNNNNNNNNNNNNNNNNNNNNNNNNNNNNNNNNNNNNNNNNNNNNNNNNNNNNNNNNNNNNNNNNNNNNNNNNNNNNNNNNNNNNNNNNNNNNNNNNNNNNNNNNNNNNNNNNNNNNNNNNNNNNNNNNNNNNNNNNNNNNNNNNNNNNNNNNNNNNNNNNNNNNNNNNCAUGGGCGCGGGGAGUGGGUUGUUCUGGCGUGUAGGCCGUGGUUUUUGCAUGCCCAAACGUGCGAGUAGUUUUGUUGUUCUCCUGAACGAGGACAUGCAGGUUGCCGGGCCUUGUGACCUGACGAUUCAUGCGGCACACACCCUCUCCCUCCCCUCACACCGCAUGUUCGGUGAAUAUUGAUAUCCAUUUUUUUAGAAGCCCGUUGGAACACACGGGCGUUCUACUAGUUAGGCUCAAUUUUACUGUCUAAAAAAAUUAAGAAAACGUUCAUCUAGAGAAGGAGAAGCAAGAGAGUUGGGGCCCAUGUUCUACUUGAUUGGCAGUUAGUUUGCCAACAUCUAAGAGCAACUCCAAUCGGGCAACCCAAUUGGACACAAGGUUUGUCCGCUUUUUAUCCGUUUGGGUCGGGCGCGGAUAUGCCCACUUCUGUUUUUUCAUUUGGGUUAGCACGCACACCCAACACUGACCCGACCCAUAUUUUUAAAACGCGGACUUAAAAAAGGAGCAAUCACAUUCAAAGUUAAACAUAAUUAUACAUAACCAGUCAGCCGCCAGCCAAAGUCCACAUUAACAUUAAAGACUAAUUAAUCAUAAAAAAGUCCACGCAGCCCCGUGUGUUACCCUAGGUGUUCUCGUCGUCCGACCCGAGACCCAGGGGAGUGCCGCCUCUAGGCCCGGGGCACUUCGCCCUGCUGCGCCGGCUACUCGGCCAUGGGCACAACGCUCCUCCUCCUCCUCCUUCUCGCUCUCCAUCUGCAUGAGCCGCUCAUCGUCGGCACGCUCGCCCGCCAGUGUGCGCUGCCUCCACUGCUCAAGGUAUGCGACCUCCUGCGCCGACGUCGCGCUGAGCUAGAUGGGAGGGGCACUCGCGCAGGUCCCUGAUCCAGACAUAGCGCUCGGUCAGCUCCGUUGGCGAUGGCUCGGCCUUGGGCGUCAGUGGGGCGAGCCUCGGCGGCACCAUGUAGUCACUGGGCGCAGAGAGGGCGAGGGCCUCCGCCAGCCUCGCCUGGUAGUUCGUCGCCUCCUCCUCCUCCUUGCGCCGCUCCUCCUUGAUGGAGGCCUGCAUGGUUGCCGCCAGCGUGGCCUGGUACGCAACCUCCUCUAGCUUGACCAUCCGGGGCGGCGGAGGGUUGGUGUGGUGCUCCUGGACGUCGCGGCGGCGUUGCUCCUCGUGCUCGAGGGCAAACCACACCUCCCAAUCGAGAGAGUUCGGCGCGUACGUCGGCAUCCGACACGCUUCGGCGUGAGGAGCUCCUGCCACCUGCGCACCUCGUCGGCGUGCGCCCGCUGCAACUGCGGCACCACCGGCACCGGGAUCCGUUGUAGAUCCAGAUGCUAGUUGUGUGGCAGGGUGAUGUCUGGGUAUGACAGCGACCGCCUGUACUACCAAUGCCACCUCGCUUGGUGCACCGGAAUGUGCGGGCACUGCCUAGCAGGGCGGGCAGGCGGCGGCGGCGGAGGAGGAUGCACCGAGGGUGAACUUCCCCUUGCUCUUCCCGAAGCCACUGAAGAAACCCAUGGCUAGGGUUUGCUUGUUACCGGCGAGGGAGCACGUGGGGGCUAGAUGUGGACGGGCAGUGGAAGUGGAUGAGACCCCCCAUGCGUGGAUUAGAAAAGGACGACCUCCUGACGCUUCCACUGGUUGACGCAUGGGCCCGCGGUAGGUAGCCACUAUAAAUAUGACCGCGUUCGGUGGUUGGCCGGCCGACAUGUGAGGCCGCGGCGGACACUGAGAGGACGCGCGGCGCAUCCGCUUCGUCUAAAAUGCGUCGACGCGGACACGAAGCGGGCAUAUUUUGGUUUGCAUCGGCGUGUUGGGGCGGUGUGUUUGUCCGCUUCAUUUCAAACGGACAUGGGCGGAUAAAAUGGAUCGCCGGGUUGAAGGUUUUUUUUGAGCAGGAAUAAAAUUCAUUCCACUUAGAACUGGCGCACCAUCUCAGUGUCAACCAGAACCGAAACGAAGUCUGGGGCUUCAGCAGCCCAAACAGAAAAAGGGCCAGCAGCCCUCAAACCAAAUUGCGCCAGAGAGUGUGCAACCCUAUUACAUUCCCUGUGACAGAACAUGAACUCAUAGGAGCCAAAAGAAGCAUGGCAUACACUCCUAGCUUCCCUGAAGAGAACACCCAACUCUGUUGUGUCGUAGUCCCGGCUCUUGAGCGCACUGUUCAUCAUUAGACAAUCUGAUUCAAGGAUGAUACGUUGAGCACCCAGAUCUGCCGCGCCCUCAAUAGCUUUCAUGCACGCACUGAUCUCCGCUUGCAGAGGGCUCCGGACAUACUGCAACUUCCCAGCCGCCGCUGCUAGGAAAUUUCCCAAUUCAUCCCGAAUUACAAAACCCCAAGCACCCACCUCUGACUCCGCAAGGAAGGCUGCAUCCAUGUUUAUCUUUACCCGACUUGACUCAGGGGCAGUCCAGGACUAUUUUUGCAUGCCUUGUGUGUUGCCCCUAGUCAGCAAGUUCUCAAAGUCUUGAACGUGUCUGCUAAUGACCCCACUCACUUCCUGAGCUGUUUUCUGUUUGUCACCCGUAUUCAUUUUGUUUCUCGUAGUCCACCAGUCCCAUAGGAGUACAGCCACCCGGUGCUUCUUCUCUUCUGGCAGUGCACAAACAACAUUUAUGACUUGGAAAGAGUCCUUACAGUCGCACAGCAAAAGGCGAGUCUCUUCCAGAUUCUGCUCUCGCCAAACCGCCUUCACACACUUGAAGUGGAGGAAAAGAUGUCCACCAUCUUCAUCUAAGCAAUUGCACAUAGGGCAGCGGGUAUCGAUCUCAAUGUGUUUCUGUUUUAUAUUCAUACGAGUGGGAAGACUGUUAUAGGCCAGCCUCCAUAAGAACAUACAGACUUUCCCUGGCACCUCCAUCGUCCAGAUAUGAUGCCAUUGGACUGUAUGUCUCUGGCCAUUUGAGGUUCCUGUAUUUUGUUGUUUCCUAGCUUCCCUCAGGCUCACUCCCAAAUGGUAGGCUGAUUUAACAGAGAACCCGCCUUUGUUAUCAUAGUGCCAGAAGAUAAAAUCCUCCAUUUCUGCUCUCACAGGUAUGGAAAGGAUGACUCUCGCAUCCUCCUCCGUGAAGAGCUCUCUCACUAGUUCAUCAUCCCAUGUCUUAGUAAUCGGAUUUAAGAGCUCAUUUACUAUAGUAAUGAUCGCCUGGCCUUGCAACGCUACUGGCCAUCUCGUCGUACCCCUAGGAAGCCACGGAUCUGACCAGACAUUCACUUGCAUUCCGUCUCCAAUGCGCCGAACAAUUCCUUCUUUUAACAGGUCACACCCUCUUAAAAUGCUUCUCCAUGUGUACGACAUUCCCGGCUGUUCCUCCGCCUCCAGAAUAGAACACUUUGGAAAGUAUUUUUCCUUGAGCACAAUUGCACACAGGGACUCCGGAUUCUGUAUAAGCCUCCAGCUCUGCCUUGCUAGCAUUGCUUUGUUGAAAAUAUGCAGAUCCCGGAAGCCUAGCCCACCCUCCUUCUUGCUUUUCAUGAGCUUUUCCCAUCUGGCACUUAUGCUUUCCUUCAUGUUGAUCCCACCAGUAUUGGCAAACCAUCGCACUUAUAUCAUCACACAGGCUCUUUGUCAUGUCAAAACAUGACAUUGUGUAGGUCGGGAUCGCUUGGGCAACUGCCUUGAUUAAGGUUUCUUUUCCUACCUUUGAUAAUAGCUUCUCAAGCCACCCCUGGAUCCUCCUCCAGAUCAUCUCCUUUAUGUACUCAAAUUCCUUGCUCUUUGCUGCACCAAGAUGCACCGGCAGCCCCAAGUACCUCUCAUUAUGUGCUUUGCCGGAAUCCCUAGGACUUGUAGGACCCGUUGUUUAUUCUGCAGAUUUGUUUUCUUGCUGAAGAACGCAAAGGACUUGUCUCUAUUUAUUUUUUGGCUCGUCUAGGCUUCAUAUAGCACAAGGAUCUCCUAAAGUUUCAAGGCACUCGCCUCCGUAGCUUUCAUGACAAUCAGGGAGUCAUCUGUGAAGAAAAGAUGAUUUAUGCUCGGAGCACCUGGGCAUAGUUUGACACCCUCGAUCGAUCCCUCAUGUGCUGCAUGCUGCAGCAAUUUGGAAAAAGCUUCUGCACAUAUGAUGAAGAGAUACAGAGAUAAGGGAUCUCCUUGACGUAGGCCUCUCUCGGGAAGAAAGAGAUCCGUUAAGCUUCCGUUCACCUUGACCCUGUAUGAGACUGAGCACACGCAUUUCAUCACCAAGCUUACCCAUGUUGCAGCAAAGCCCAUGGUAAGCAUCAUGCGUUCCAGAAAAAGCCAUUCCACCCUGUCAUACGCCUUACUCAUGUCAAGUUUCACUGCCACCAAUCCUUGUCUCCCUCCCUUCUUUUUAUGCAUCAGGUGGGUUAUCUCAUAGGCAAGCAACAGAUUGUCCGUGAUCAUCCUUCCCGGGACAAACGCAGAUUGUGUUGGAGAAAUCAGGUCUGGUAGUAUCCUUUCAUAUGGUUAGCCAAAACUUUUGAAAUGAGCUUACGCAAGACAUUGCAUAGGCUGGUCGGUCGGUAUUGUGUGAGUGACUAUGGGUUUUUCACCUUUGGAAUCAACACUAUCGUUGUUUCAUUCCAUCCCAUGGGCAUGAUACCGCCAUUUAACACUGCCAGGACCUCCUCCUGUACUUUAGCACCCACUAUAUCCCAAACCUUUUAUAGAAUAGGGCCGGCAUGCUGUCCGGUCCAGGAGCUUUGAGGUCACCGAUAGCAUCAAGAGCCUCUCUUAUCUCCUCCGCGGUGAAUGGCUUAGUGAGGUAUACAUUCAUCUCAGGCGUAACCGACACAUUUAUAUGGCGGAAAAUGUCAUCAUUUAGGGGGCCUGCAGAAGAUACAAAUAGACUUCGGUAAAAAUCAGUGAUAAAGGGUCCUAUUUCUUCCUUCCUCUCCACAACACUUCCAUCAUCCCUCUUCAACCUCCGGAUCAUAUUCACCCUCCUUCUCUCCGAAGCAUGGGCAUGGAAAAAGCCAUUGUUUCGAUCACCAAAUUUGAGCCAAUUGACAUGCGCCCGCUAUUGCCAGUACACAUUAUAUUGGUCCUCCAACUGGCUAAGUCUGUACCGCAGCAACUGUUCGCGAGAGACUUGUAGUUGGUUAAUGGCUCCUCUCCGACACCGCUCUAGCUCCCUUGGGACCCCCUUUAUUAUGUGCUUCAGUUCGCCCAGGACCUCCCUGUCCCAUUUCAGUAGGCUUGCACCGACUCUCUUCAAGGCCUCGCCAACUUCUGUCUCUCCUUCCUAGAACGCAUUAUUCCAUGCCUCCUCCACAACCUCAUGACACCCUUCCUCCUGUAGCCACCAUGCCUCGAAGCAGAAACAUCUUUGACCCCUUCCAACGCCCAGGGAUUUAUCUUGCGCAUUUAGUUCAGCAAUAACGGGGCGGUGGUCAGAAUGUCUCGGAUCCCUGUUAAUGAUUUUGUGCAAUGGAAACAAGCACCUCCACUCAACAUUUGCUACUGCCCUAUCCAGUCGCUCCUUUGUAUACCCGAUCGUGUCUCUCCAGUUAUUUCUCCAUGUGAACGGGUCGCUGACAAAGCCCAAGUCCUCAAGCUCACAGUGUUCCAAGGUUCUUCUGAAGGCUUGCAUGCUUCCCUGGGCCCGAGCCGGCCCUCCUUCCUUCUCUCCCGCAAAUAAUAUUUCAUUAAAAUCACCCAUGCAAACCCACGCUAGCUUGUCCUGCCCAUGCAGAUUUCGAAGAGCCCUCCAUGUACUCUCCUUAUCCUCCGCCUUUGACUCUCCAUACACCUCGGUGAACCUCCAUUUGCUGCCAUCCUCCUGCACCACAUCAAUAGUAAUGUGGUAUUUCCUCUUCCAUCUUAACUGAACAUCUAUCCCUCUCCUCCAAAAAAGCACCAGCCCACCACUCCUCCCCACACAGUUCACCGCCACCAUGUUCACCCUAUUCAAUCUCCACCUCAAGAAAUCCACUUCCUUCUCGGUCAUUUUGGUUUUCGAGAGGAAGAGGAUGUCAGGCUCUUCGGCCUUCUGGAGUUCCAGAAGGCUACGAACUGCCGCGGGGUUCCCAAGCCCCCAACAGUUCCAUGAGAUAACUUUCAUUGCUGCUCGCAGGGCUGUUCUGACAGCCCCGCUCUAUUUUCCGUCAGUGUGGCCACCUUGGUUUUGCUUUUCUUCACAUCUCCUGCCAUCUCUGUACCACAUUCCAUAGCAUCACCUCCCCUCUUCGACCCCAGGUUUACUCCCAACGGUGAUCCCUCCGCCUGACUACCGUUACGUGGCUUCCUCUUGUAUUUCGUCCCACCUUGCUUUCCUGCUUGUUUCAGAUCUGCUGUCAUCAUCACGUUUUCCUUUCUUUCCCCACUGCUCUCCUCCACCCCCACACCAUCUCCUUCUUCCUUCUCUACAACAGUGUUUACUUUCUCUACCAGAGCUAGCGUUAGCGUAGUCUCCCUCACUCCCGGCAUAUGCCCACUAACUGGUACCUCCGAGGUGCGAGCACUGCUAAAGUUUAGUUGCUUUCUGAUAGAUCACUCAUGUAUCUCUUCCACCCCAUCACUACUCUUUUGCUCGACCUGCAUAGGAUCUGUAGGCUUCUUCAGCGGGCUAGUGACCUCAUCAUCCGGUGUUUCCUUCUCUGUAAUUUUAUGCCCGGCUCCAGGCUUAUCCUUUCGCCAACUGUCACUGUCACUGCGUGUUCUAACUCUAGAGGUUCCUGGGUUCAGACUCCUACCGCUCCCACUGCCCCGUCCAUCAAACCUGCCUCUUCCGUGGCUCCAGCUCCCCUGCUAUUCUCACUCGUAGGCCCGGGGAUAUAGGCCUUAAGCCAUGAGCCAUAUUGCUUGGUUUCCCCCUUCUUCAACCUGACCGAGUAGUCCUUCUCCACAUGGUCAAGCAUGCCACAGACGUAGCAUAAAUCUGGUAGAAACUCAUACUCGAAGCGACGCCAUUUCUCCUCCUCCCUCUUCCUCUUCUCAUAUGCAGUCACUGCCCUUUUCCCUUCCUCCUUAUCCUCCUCAUCAUCCAGAACAAAACCUCUCAUAAUUGGCUUUGAUAUAUCCAUGCGGAUCUUGACCCGAAGAUACUUUCCUACUGCCAUGCCAUUAGUCCCCGCAUCAACCUCCAGGGCCUCUCCAACAAUGUCCCCGAUUGCUAGGCUAGCCUCCCUACACAUCAUCCCGAGGGGAAGGUCAUAGACUCGAACCCAUAUUGGAAUUGUCUUGAACUUGUAGUCCUUGGCAGUUUUCUCGGGUCAUAAUCCUCGACCACAAGCAAUGAAUUUCCAAACAUCCAAGGGCCCUCAUCCAGGGCUUUUCUUUUUCCUGAGUGCUGACAGAAAGUAAACAUGUAGAUGUUAUCCCCAAGAUCCGUGCACUCCAAACCUCUCAACGGGCACCAAACUUUUCCAAGGGCGUUCUCCAUGCCUUCUGCAUAAGCUGGCUUGUCGGACAGAAGUUUUGCUAGAGCUUGUGGUUCCAUGACCCCACUCUUUGCUCCUCCUGACCAAUCAAUUUUCCUACCUUUGCUCUCCAGAUCUGACAACUUGAGGCUCUUCAUCAAACCUUCCACACGCUCCAUCUUCACCAGCACUGACCGGGGAAGAGACCAGACCAAAUCUCCCGAUUGGGGGAGGGGAACUACAAUUCGGUGUCUCGCGAUGGCGCACCUGGCAAGCAGACCUGAAAACUGGAGGGAGGUGGACGCGGGGGAGGGGGCCAGGGGCGGUGGUAGCGAGCGCUCGAGGGGACGGCGGCCGGAGAGGGCGAGGCACCUCGGGGGCGGCGGCGAACCCUCAUAAUCACCACGAGACCUAACCUUCACACCUAGGACGGACCAAUUGAACUGGCCUCGCCAGGUUGAAGUUGCUCUAAGAGAGAAGGAGAAGCAUCGCGUUCCACUAGAGCGUCGAGUCUUUCUGGAAAAAAACUAAGGCUCCGUUCGGCUCAGAGGGAGAAAAAACGAAGGAAUAAAUAACUGCAUAGGUAUAGAGUUGAGUGGGAAGAGCAAACCUAUGGCCUGUUUGCUUUGCAGGAAGGUAAGUGUUUAUAGCCGGCGCACUGGCUCAAAAUUGCGCCGGUCGCACCCGCUCUCGUGUGGCCCCGCAUCGCUCUGCCCCUUUCCCUUAUCUUCUUCCCUUCGAUCUAGAGCGUUCUUGGCCACAAUUCCCCACCGCUGCUACCCACCACUCCUUCUCCUUCUUCCAGCUCCCCUCCCCAUCGGUGCUGCCCACCUCUCCCUCUCCUUCCUCCGCCUCCCUCACCAUUGGGGCUCCCCACCUCUCCCCCUCCUUCCACCUCAAGCCGCCAGCGCUUCCACAAGUAGGCGGGGCUGCGACGACCGUCCAACGACAACUGCCGCGAAGCUUCAACACCGGUGCUACGACGGGGCGUCGACCGGUGUUGUGGACGGGAGAAGCCUUCGGCGCCGUGGACAGGAGAGUCCACCGGUGGUUCAACUUCAGCGACGCCCAUUGCUGGAACCGGCUCAUGGCGGUGCUGGAACCAGCACUAAUUUUUGCUACCAUCGGCACUUUGGUUUGCUACCACCGACGCCAAUUCUUUGCAUUUUGUUACAACCGGUGUUUUGAUUUGCUGGAACCAGCUUCAAUUUUUGCUACAACUGCCGCAUUCGCUUUUUGCUCGAAGAACGCCCAAUUUUGCUACUUUGCUACAAAUGGUGUUUUAAUUUGCUACAACCAGUUUCAAUUUUUGCUACCACCGGUGUCUUUGAUUUUGCUAGAACAUCCUUCCACAAAGGCUCCUUUUUUUGCAUUUUUGCUUCCACUGUUUUUGGUUUUGCUGGAACUAAAACAAAGAUUUGCUACUACUGCUGUUGGCUUUGAGCCAUGGUUUUCUGCUGCUGAGCUUUUUUUGCUGGAACUAUCAUUUAAUUGUGCUGGAAGUGACAUUUUUUGUUGCAACCGCCUUCGCGUUUUGCUACGACCAGGGAAGUUUUUUGCUACAUCCAUGCAUGGCUCCAGAGUCGGCGAGAAACACCGGAGACGACGACGGCGAGGGGCGGCAACCGGCGGCAAGGGCGCGGGCGGCGGCAAGCGCGAUCCGCCAUGGACGCGGGCUGUUGGUCAACGGACGAGAGGAGGCACGAGGACGAAGCGGUACGUCCAGAGGAUGCCGCAUCCAGCGGCUGGGCAUAAACAGAUCGAGCUGCUACGCGCUGACCGGCCCAAAUUUGGGCCGGCGCACCGGCGCCUAUAAGCGCCCUUGCAGGAAGAGGCACUAUUGAGAAGUACGAUGGAGAGAUGGGUGUCAGUACUGAUUAUAGUUGUUUAUUGUCUUGAAAAGGAUGACCUCUCACACCUCUCAUGCAACUGCAUUGUUUAUUCGGCCGCACCACCCUAGAGCCAGCUCUUAGCCUCGGGCCUCCACGAGAACAUGAGGUUUUAGUGGAUUUUAGAUUUCCUGUGAAAAAUACAGGUUUUUGUGACUAUCCGGUGGAACAGACGACUAAUAUUCCUCUGAAACGAACGCACUACCGGUAGGAAUUCCUAUGGUAACCCUUCCUCCAAAAGUUCCUGCAAAAUUCCUGUAUACCGAACGCGGCCUAAAGCAUCGAGUCGGGCACGGAUAUUUUGGAUCACCGACCCAGCAAACCUACCGUUUCGCUUGUCUCUCGGCCAUCCAUAUCCCCAAACCGAAUCCUUCGCUCCCAGAUCAAGAAAGAAUCCUUCGCCCCCCAAAGAGCUUUUUACGCGUCUCCGCCAACGCCGCAGCCGACGAAACCCUAGCAUCGCGAUGUUGUCGUCGAAGGAGCCCCUGGGUCCUGGACAUGCCUUUCCCGGCGACUGCUAUCCCAGCCAUCUGCCCAGCUUCGAAAUCCCCACAGAUCUUUUUGGUCCCUUUCCCCGGCAUGUUCAUGAGACUCGCGAGGAGGCCCCCAUCGAUGUGUUUAGAUUCGAAAUCGCCCCAGAUCUAUUCGGUUCUACCCACCAUCGUCUCCUUGAUGCGUUCGAGGAGGAGGAGGAGGAGGAGGUGGUGGUGGUGUUGGCGGAGAAGAAAGAGAGAGGGUUCCUCGAGAGCGGUGAGUAUUACCGCCUAGCUUCUCUAUGUUUUCUAAUCUUUUGCGCCGAUUUAGCUAGGCUUCCUAUCGAUCAAACUUUUGGGUAACCGCGCAGAAUCAGAGUCUGAAUCUGAGUUGCCUAGCUGGGACGACAUUCUCGUGGGCGCUGGUGUUGAACCUGUUGAUGGCGUCAACUUGUCCGACUUGAUGGAUUACGAUCCGCUGGCAGUGGAUGCCGACAACGAGGAGACAAACUGCCCAGGUAUAUAAUUAGAUACCACUUUCGUCAUGUGUCCAGAUAACGAAAAACAGUUAAUUGGUCAGUCGAUCCUACACUGAUUUGUUUUUUCAGGGAAGAAAUUUCCCGAGGCAACAGCAGCGAAAGUAGACGAUAUAUGGAGUAGGAUUUACACCAGACGCAACAUCGAGUACCAGAAGAAGUGUGAGGAGAUUGAAGCAAGUGAAGAUGAGAAUGCCACAUUUCCUUCUUAUCCUCUCAAAAUACUCCCUGAGGCAACAGGUCUAUGUGUCUUGAGGGGCUUUUGCCACCACCGUGAAUAUAAAACCCAUGAUACUUCCACUAGUAAGCUUGUCGAUCUCAUUCAUUCCUAGCUAACCCAGCGAUUAAUCUGCGACUGUGAUCUACCUAUGUUUGUUAUAACAACUUUUGCUAUCACUAUAUUUUGCAGCUAGAUCAAGUCUUGGGUUACGUGAUCCAAGACUGAUGCUACAGAUCUUUGCGAUGCAUUUAUCAAUCUCCGAAUCCUAUUCCUACCCCGUUAGCGUCUAUGGAAUUGUUGCUGUUCGGGAUGCCUUGGAGCCACUACGGAAUCUUGUGUUUAACCGUCCCUGCAGAGAUGAUGCUUUUACGGUUGACCAGGUAAUUGAUCGAGCUAGGCUUGGUUCUGUUUCCAUGUAACUUUUCAGUUGCAGUGCAUGUGAGAUUUUUGUUGUUCUGAUUCUUCAUUACUUGGUUGGAUCCACUAAAAGGAAAUUAUAUAUGCAUUUAGUCCUCCAUUUUCUGUGUAAAUGGUAUAAUUAUACAUUUGCGGUAAUUCUGUGAUUCGUUCUUUUUGUUAUCUGUGUCACUUUUGGUCGACAAAAAGGGCCACUGAAUCUUGACUACCUGUACCAAUAAUUGCACUAUGCUGUGCUGUCACCCCUUUCAGUAUGUUCUCCGGCGUCAACACGCUAUCAGUUCCAUGCCCAUCAGAUCCUGCAAACUUUAUAUGAUUGUGCUGCCAAAAGCAUGGAAAAGUAGUCAUGUUUGAUUAUCCUAACAUAAUUAUAAAAUGUUUACUCUAUUUCUUUAUUACACAAGUUGUGUUUUGACUCCCUGCAAAGCAACACAUAUUUCUCUACGCGCAGGCAUUAACAUGUUAUGGACUCCUGGAAUUCUGAUCUAGUUGUAACAUCAAUAGCACAUGAAACUAGUCAUCUUCUGAUUUACAAGGCAUAUUUUUUUUUACCAACUAUGCAUAGGGUGCUUAGAAGGUUCUAGAUCAGACUAUAUUGGCUAGGGGGAGAUGAUUAUGAUAUCCCCAGUCUUCCUGUUUUAGGAAUUAGGAAUUACAGAGAUAGUAAUACAGGUGAAUGGAGGUUUUUUUUUUGCACCUGGGCACAGUUGCCCAUUGAAUCUGAGCCAUCCAUGUCUGUCGCAGGAUAGGUGCCCAUUCUUUUAGGAAUCACAAAUACUAAUUAAGUACAUUCUCAUAUAGGCCCACCAUGACAUAGUACAGGUUAAUCGGCCUUCCUCUCUUGCCUAUCCCCUUCUCUCUCACCUCUCCCCAUACAGUGAGCUUGGCCAUAGGAGCCGCUGCUCCACCAGUCCAGGUUAGUAUGGCCUGAUCUACCCAUCGUCGUGGGAAGACUAUGUUCCCACGGCUGUUGUGUCUUUGAGGUUUGCUCCCAUGGCCUCUGCGUGGUCCUGGUCCACUCUGACAGGAUGCGCUGCAUAGAUCGUACGGAACCCAAUGUGUAUGUUGGAGAAAACAAUAGAAUACGGACUUGUGCUAAAUUCAUUGUAAGUUCCCACUGUUACCUAUCUCAAACCGCAAGUCCGGUGCUGAUGUGGUUUGCACCUGCAUCUUUGGCGCACAGAAGCAUUUUCCAAGUGUAUGUUGAAGAGGGGGUGGCGGUAUAUAUGAGUGAGUGGAGAAAGGUUGAAAAUGCAUGCAUGUAAAAGAAAUGCCAAACAGCGUCUGGCUUGUACUUUCAAACAGAACUACUUCCUCUGUUCCUAAAUAUAAGUCUUUGUAGAGAUUUCACUAUGGACCACAUACGCAUGUAUGUAGAUGCAUUUAGAGUGUAGAUUCACUCAUUUUGCUUCGUAUGUAGUCCAUAGUGGAAUCUCUCCAAAGACUUAUAUUUAGGAACGGAGGGAGUAGAUUUUAGUCCAAAUAUGAUCAUGCAUGUCUUGCCGAGUUAAUUUUGUCGAUAUAUACUGAUGUAUCCCAAACUGGGUUUAUAUAUCUUGUUGAGUUCUAAUGCUUACUAAUAUUUUUUAAUUGCAGGAUUCCUUAACCUUGCCUCUUUGUAGUCCUCGUCGAGGAAUGUAUAUAGUAAGGGACAGAGCAUUACUAGAAGUUGAUCUUUGGGUAAAGGAGGAAGGAGAUGGGUCAUCUGACAAACAGUUGCUUUCUUUGUAUGCUGAGUUUGAGGGGAUGUACGAGUUAGAUGAAAUGCUAGAUGGAGAGGUUAGUAGUGACCUUGGCAGCUUGGUCAUUGACUAUCUCUUGCUUGAUGAGAGUGUUGAGGCUGUAAUACAAGUCUCUGCAAAGAUUGACUGCCCUCAUCAUAUGAGAUUCACUGCAUUCACUAGUGGCUUUGAUGG